UUCAUCUCCCAUUCAUACAACAAACUGCAGUUCUGCCAAUUAUUCAAGACUUUCAUCGACGAUCGAGAGCUUGAAAUAGGAUCUGAUCUCCCCGGAGCUACUUUACUUUUUUUUUUGUUUUUUUUUGUUUUGUUUUUGAGGACGAAUAAAAGUGAUUUACCUCGUACUCAAUUAAAACCGAAAACCGAAAACCGAACUAAUAGCUGAGGUUUUAUCAAAAUAGUGAAUUACCAAGAGUUGUUCCUGAUUGAGUUAAACCAGCUCGGGAUUGCAAGUCAAGUUAAGCAGAUGAGGUACAGAGUGGAGUCUUAUUUGAUGCUCUUGCUCAUUCCAGCUAAGGCAGAACCUGCGCUAAUAAGUUUAAGGUCAGGGAUUGAUAUAUAGAUAUAUCAGGUCUAUAUCUCAGUUAUAAUGGCUAAAAGGUCAUGUUUUUUCCCCUCACAUCAGAAAUUAUAAUGACUAAAAGCUUAAUUCUUAAUGACAGUGGACAGUAACAUAUAGAAAGAACCAUAUAAAUGCUGUCACGCAAUUUGUCAUGCAAUUUGCAAUUGAAACUAUCAAUUUAAGACAUUAUUAUUCAACAGCUACAACUUUAUACCCUAUAUGAUACAUCCUUUCAGUUGAUUUUGAAGCUUUAGUUUGCACAUAUGCAAAUCAUGAAGUUGCACCCUGAUUGUCUGAACCUCUUUUGUCAUCAAGUUUAGUUCCUUCUGUGAAUUCAUCCGUCCUUUAUCUAAACCUUUGUUCACUCUCACAAUUGCCUCGGUCUUUGUUCUUCGGUAAUUCGAACCAAUAGCUGUCAUUGACCUUGUCAUGUUCACUUGUUCAAGAAGAAUAAAUCGUGUCGUAAUCUUCACAGGCAAUCGAUCAUUCUUUGCUACAUGGUCACGAGCCUCUUGGGACAGUCUGUGAUAUUCCAAGGAGCCACAUAGAGUCAUUCUUUCUUCUUCGGUUAAGCUAGGGUGUGCCUGUAAGAAACAUCAGUAGUUGGUGAAGUAAUGUCAGGAAAUACAUUAUCUCUAGAAACUAUAAGAGAAAAGGAACUACGUACUUACCUUGAGGUACAUGUCAAUGGCUCUGUAGAGAUCGUCGUCGCAAAAACGAGCCUCUUUAGGCAUUGCUUCUACAAGUGACUGGAAAGUAUUCAUCUUAAGGUUCUCAUCCUUUGCCACCAGUGUAAGAUACCCAUCCACCAACCUUCCAACAGCAAACAUUUUUGGCGUGGUACUCUUAGAAACAAUGGAAACAUAAGCCACUACCACCCUUAUAACAAGAUUCACAUCAUAGACACUAUCUUUAUCUCCAUAGUUCCUAACUAAGAGAUCAAGAGGACGACAUUGAUCCAACAUGAAAGCUAUUCUUCGUUCAAGCAGACUCAGUAAAUCAGAGUUCACUUUUGUCACGAAGCCUAUCUUCAGAAGGUGAAGUAUAAAAUUGCAAGUAACAGAUUUCUCUUCCACAGGCAGUACCUUAAUCAAGCACUCGAUUGUAACUCUUACGUAUUGGUGGGUCAUGUGCUUGGGGAUCAUACUUUCAAGUCCAGAGGUGAUUCUUGAAAGCCAUUUAACAGUCCAGUGAGCUAUACAUGAUCCAACAAGGUCUGCUCUCAUCCCUUUACAUUUUAGGGAUUGAACGACUUCGAUGAAAUGAUCUACUCGUAGGGUUGAAACAUCUUCAAACCACCAAUUGUCAAGUACUGCACCUUCAACUUUUGAGUCUACAUUAUUUGACAGAAAACUAAAGCACUGCAUAUCAUCAUCUUCAUGACUAGGCGCCUUAAGGUUUGUGCAUGCCUUCCAAGCAAUGGCUUCCGAGCUUCGUUUUGUGAUUUUAAAGUCUUUUGCCCAGGAAGAAAUGGAUUCACAGCUUUUCAGAAUCCGGAAAGUGUCUUUCCAUGAUGAAAAUAUCAAAAAACUUAAAAAUGCCUCAGUUUUGGACAUGAGAUUUCCUUCUUCAAAAUCAUCACACAUCUCCAAGAAAUGUGCAGCACAAUACAGUGGAGCAACAUUGGAAGCUGUUAGAUCAACCUUCCAACCAUAACAAAACUUGACGACUAACUCAAAAAUUUUGGAUCCACCUGGAAGAUUGUCUAUACGGAUUUUGAGGCCGGUUUCUCUCUCACCAAUACUUGUCAGCUGGAAUACUAGUCUGUUCAAGUAUCCACUUCUCAUGACCAUAGGGAGCUGAAGACCAAAAGAAUAUGAAGUUAAGUUUCUAAGAAUCUGAACAUAGUUGAGGUCAGACAAUUAGCUUUCCUAACCAAACAUAUUUUCAUCCAAUUUUUGAAUCUAAAUACUGAUAGGAUGUCUUAGCCACCAGAGUUAAAGCAAUAACAAAGAUUCCAAAUCCAAAUGCUUCUUCAAAACUUCAAAACAUUGUGGCAGCAUUCGGAAGCUAUCACCAUAAUCCUCCUAGGUAGCACACACUAAGUAAACUACUUCACUGCACCUAAAGAAAAUUUUCUUCACAGUGAUAUGUAGAUCAUUUCCAUACACUAGCUACCUUAGAGAUGGACUGUUCUGGUUUAUUCUUUAUUUAGAAGUGUCUUUCAGCUCAGUAACAUACCUUGUGCAAGUGGAAGUUGGUAUCUCCAACUUGUAUGAUCAAAUCAUUGGCAACUUUCGUCCGCACAAACCUGCAAGAAGAAACAUCACUAUAAGCGCUCUAUAGGUAUAGGCAUACAAUUGUAGGAACAAUUAGAGGAGAGAAAUCAGUACCAAUUCUGAUUCCUUUUGUCCAAAGUUUCGGCAACCAUGCUGGAACUCACCAGACAAAUGACACAUUGGCUACUCCCUCCACCAGAUACUAUACCCUGAACAAAUGGUUGUCUAUCAACAAUUCUCCUUCCUGAAGUGUCAGGCUUGUGAUUUCGAGGGAAGACAAACGGCUUAAACAUCUUUUGUUUAGAAGUUUCAGAUAAUGAACAAGAGGCAAAAAGAAUAAUUGUUCCUACAGCAACUCAAACCUUGGAUGCAGAACAUAGGCAAAUCUGAACUUAGUAUUAUAGUCUCGAGUGGUUAUGCCAUUAUGAGGGUUGUUACCUAUUGCAAUCUUCCUGUCAUUUUAGGUAUAGGUGUAUAAUGUGUGGACUUAUAGCAGCCAAGUGAGCCAACUCCAUGACAAUAAUAUGUACUACAAUCUCAUCCACUACUCCAUUAGAGAAACCCAGAAGCACUUUCUUCCCUAUCAUCAUAAUUCUUCCCCCAAAAGCCAUCAUCCAUUUAGCUCUAAACUGACUAAUUCCCUAAUAUCUCCAUUUAGAUAUUUCAGUUGUACUUUAUGCCUCAUCAUACCAAACACCACAGAUACUUUUCCACAUAGAUAACAGUCAAAAUGAAAGCUUUUACAUUUUUACUUUUUUGGGCAAGAACUAAAAAGUGAUUUAUUGCUUGCAGACCCAGAAAAGAAUAAAGACGCAAACUUGAACAGACAAUAUAAUCAAGCAGGUGGUGCGCUUUUCAUUCAAACAAAACGGUCACCUUUUCUUCUUCUUCGUCUUCUUAGAGCCAAAGGCUCACAUAGCACAAAACCCAUUAAUGCAAUGCAGACCCUUCACUUCAAAACCCAAUCUUUCUUCUCAAAACCCACUUGUUUCUUCAUAAACCCCAUUGCUAAAACCCAAAUUUCUCUUCAAAGCUCAGUCUCUGCUCCAAGAUCUCAUCUUUUUUCACUUUCUCAUCGAACCCAGACCCAGAAACCGAUUGUGAAUUCAAGAAAGAAGAGAACAGCAAAUGGGUCUUUGAAAUUGCAGAGAUUCUUGCUCAGAUUGGUGCCCAUUAUCGCCUCCAACCUCAAGCUUCUGCCUCAGCCGUUGGAUCAGGUCCUUGAAGAAAUCAGCGGCGGAGAUGGCGGGGGAGGGGGUGUGGGGUUUUGGAAGGGUUUUGGGGGAGGAGGGUUUGAUGGGUUCAGAAGCAAAAGGAAGAGGAAGUUGCUGUUGCUGUUUUUGUUUUAUGGGAUUUUGGUGAGUUGUGGUUUUGGGUUGUUGUUUGGGGGAGAUUUGGAGAGCAAUGUGGUUUGGUGUGGGUUGUGUUUUGGGGCAAUUGGGGUUGGUUUGGUACAUUGGUGGGAUAAAAGAGGUCUUUUUGGGGUUUUUGUUUGGGGUGUUUUGGUGGGUUCAGGGUUUAAGAGAAAGGAGUUGAGGGAUUGGGGAUUGAAGCUAAGGCCUAUAAUGGAGAAUGUGACAUUGAGAACCACAAGAAGAAGAAGAGGAAGAAGAGCAUUCUAAAUUGAAAGCAACAAGAAAAAAAUUUUGAUCAUUUUUUAUACUAUAUGAAAUACCAUUGUAAUUCUCUAAGCUUAGUUUGCUUAUUUACUUUGUUGACAUGUAUUGUUUGAGUGAAAGAUUUCAUUUUGGGUUUGGUUUUUGAUUCUCAAUGUUUGUUGCUUACUAUAUCUUGUAUAUCUAUAAGGACUUUGUAUCAAUAUUAACCUUAGAGUCUAUAUAUAACCCCAUAAGGUUUUGCACUUGAAAAGCAGAAGCUUCUGAGUUCUGAUUGAUGAAGAAGCACUACUAUACCAUUCUUUCUCUAUUAGAAAAAUGCAAAACCAUGAGUGAACUGAAACAAAUACAUGGGGUGAUGGUCACUAGCUCAGUCAUUAAGAAUGUGAUCCCAUUGAGUAGGGUUAUUGAUUUCUGUGCUAAUUCUGAAGCUGGAGACAUCAGCUAUGCAAAGUCGGUUUUUCGACGAAUUGAGCAGCCCAGUGUCUAUAUCUGGAACUCAAUGAUCAGAGGGUACUCGAAUAGCGAGAACCCGGUUGAGUGUUUGGUAAUGUAUAGAGAAAUGGUGCAUAGAGGUUAUGCCCCUGACCAUUUUACAUUUCCAUUUGUGCUCAAAGGGUGUUGCAUCGUCAGUGAUGUUCAUUAUGGGAAAUGUGUUCAUGACUGCAUAAUGAAAACUGGGUUUGAGUUGAAUGUGUAUGUCUCUGCUGGUUUACUCAAUAUGUAUGCUUGUUGUGCAGAUAUGGAAUCUGCACAGAAGGUGUUUGAUAAAAUGCCCAAGUGGAAUGUAGUUGCUUGGACUAGUCUGAUUUUCGGGUUUGUUGGGAACAAUCAAGCUAGUGAGGCUGUAAAGGUGUUCAAGGACAUGGAACUUUGUAAUGUCGAGCCUAAUGAGAUUACUAUGGUCAAUGUCUUAGUUGCUUGUGCUCGAAGUAGGGAUAUUGAUAGUGGGAAGUGGGUUCACAGUCGUAUUCGCCAACUUGGGUUUGAUCCGUUCGGUUUGAGUUUUGAUUUUAAUGUGAUUCUUGCAACUGCCAUUGUAGACAUGUAUGCAAAAUGUGGCAGCUUGAAGACAGCAAGGCAUCUGUUCGACAAGAUGCCUGACAGAAACUUGGUUGCCUGGAAUUCCAUGAUCGGUGCCUACAAUCAAUAUGGCCAGGGUGAUAAAGCGGUUGAUCUGUUUUUUGAUAUGCGGCAUGCUGGGUUUGUUCCGGACCAAACUACCAUAUUGGGUGUGAUUGGUUCUUGUGCGCAGUUGGGGGCUUUGGCAUUGGGACAAAGUCUUCAUUCGUGUGUAUCAAAAACUGGCAUAGGCACAAAUGCUUCUAUUGUAACUGCUUUAGUGGACAUGUAUACAAAAAAUGGGGAUGCAGGCAGUGCUCAACGAAUUUUUGAGAAUUUGCAGAAGAAAGAUGUAAUGGCAUGGACUAGUAUGAUUGUCGGAUUAGCUAUGCAUGGGCAUGCUACAGAAGCACUGCAUAAUUUUAGAAAAAUGCAAGAGGAUGCUAGUGUUAUUCCAGACCAGAUCACUUAUAUUGGGGUUUUAUGUGCGUGUAGCCAUGUUGGACUUGUGGAGGAGGGUCAGAGACACUUUCGCUCAAUGGUAGAUGUUUAUGGCAUAACACCAACUGUAGAGCAUUACGGCUGCAUGAUUGAUCUUUUGAGUCGUGCAGGCCGGUUUGAAGAGGCGGUGAGACUACUGGAAAAAAUGCCAAUUCAACCCAAUAUUGCAAUAUGGGGAGCUCUCUUAAAUGGGUGUGAGAUAUAUGAAAAUGUAGAUCUAGCUAACAAAUUUAAAAGAUACAUAACAGAGUUGGAGCCUCGUUUUAGUGGAGUUCUGGUUCUUCUUUCCAACAUAUAUGCUAGGGCUGGAAGAUGGCAAGAAGUAAAGCUGACAAGAGAAUUGAUGAAAGAUAGGAGGAUUGCUAAAAGUCUUGGAUGUAGUUCAGUUGAAAUGAAAUUGUUAAGCUCAUAAUGCAUUGUCUUUGUCCAACGUUCUUCAGAUUGGUUUUCAAUUGAGCAGCUCUUAUCCAGCUGUAAAGCUUGCAAUCAAACAAGUUCUAGAAAGUCAUCCGGGAGAGUGAGUGCAAAGAACUUGUUGAUGCCCUCAACAACAAGAUCGAGAGAGGCAAUUGGAAAAUGUACCCUCUCUUAUGUGAAUUGUACAGGCUAAAGUGUGAGUUUGAUCUAACUGCAGUGGAGAUGGAUAGCUGUGGUAGCUAAAGAAGCUACUGUGCUGCAGACGCCAUGGUAAAGCUUGCAAGGUGUUCGUGCUCAAGGAGCCAGGAGAAUGGGCUCCCAACUCUAUGGUUAAUGGUUUGGUCAAUGAUGUGCUCCCAUGCCGCCUGUUUAUCAUUAGCAAUAGCAUUGAUUUUGAUCGUGGUAUAUGGUGCUUGAGUAUUUGCAUCUUCGUAAUAAUCAGGGGAUUGCUCUGAUUAUCACUGAAAGAAAUGGGACUGCACAAGAUAUAUGUAUCAAGCCAUCAAGGUAAGGACUUGUAGUUGAAUGGCAAAUGGUUCAUGAGUGUAUUAUCUCUUUGGAAACUACAAACUUGUUGAAAGAAGUCAGACAACAGUAUGUCGAGGUUCAUUAUAUAAUAUUUUGGGAUGUCAGUUGAUUAUGGUGACACACUGUUGAAGUCUCCAGACACAGAAUUUGCAAACAGUAAUGUCUACAUAACCAUCUUAUUAUAAUGAUUUAGAUUUUGUAUAAACAUUUAGUUUGUUGUUUGAGAGAAACUGUUAUAAUGGUGUUUCUCCAAGAAUAAUCAGCUUUAAUUUGCCAUACAAAUGGAAGGGACUUCCUGAUAUAGUGUAUAGCAUUAUUCAUCCUACUAAAAUGAUUCUCAUUAGUCAUAUAUCCAUCUCCAAACAUAUGGAUACAAAAAUCAGUUUCAAGCUUAAGAUCCAAAACCAAGAACAAGCUGGAACUGAUAAUGAUUUGGUUUGGUUUGGUUUGUUCUACACUAAAUCUAACUGCAAUGUAGGACAACUAGUGCAGUCCCAUGGGUUUCUACAGAAAUGGAUAUGGAGUGUUCUAUAAUCCCCAGGUCUUGUCGGCUCCAUACUUCAUUGCUUUUGCAGGAAGCUCUGGUAGUCAAUUUUGUCCCAGGAAGUGCCUUGGCCAAGUCUGAUUUUUCUGCGGUUAUAGUAGUCGUCUUUGAGCUCAGAUUAAAUAAAGCAACAUAUAUUUCUCCUGCAAUAACCAAAAGGGAAUACAUCAAAAUUGUAAACCAAAGAAAUGAAAAAAGAGGAAUUAGUGAAGUCCAAAGAAUCAUAUCAAACCUUGUCUUCCAGUUGCAACCCAAGAGCGAAGUCCUUUAGAUUUCAUGUAUGGAAACUGUAAAUGCAGCAUAAUAAGAUUUUAGAUAAGUUGCUGUCAUAAUGGAUCAAGUUGUUUCCCAACAGUUCAUCUUUACUCGCCUCCUUAUUAUUUGAGCUAAAAGAAUUGAUCUCAAGCAAGGUAGGAUUUGUUAGGAGACUGUACGUUGUAUCAUCAAGCUUUCUCACAUCUCCUCCAAACAUGAGAGGAGACUUGGCCAUACACCACAAGGUCAUCUGUGUAAAUAAACGGGUUCUACAGAAGUCAGAUAGACUUGAUCAGCUAAGCUAACUGAAAUUAAGACUCAAAUCACACUGGUGCUUUUAUAAAUACCAUAGUUCUUUGCUCCUCUAGUGUGAGGUUAGUCUCUCUAUGUUGACCUUCAUUGAAAUCUAACAUUUUCACCAUAUCAAGAAUUAAGUUAUCAUUCUCAUCACAUCACUAAAGUAGAACUUCAAGCAUCAUAAAACAGAAGCUGUGAAUAAGACAAAAGGAAUAAUGUACAUAUAUUUAGAUAUAUGACACCUCCAUCAUUAAGCCAUCCUAGUGGUAGCAUAUCUAAGUCAGGCCAUGAGCUGUUUGCUCCAAUCAUAUUCGCAGCAGCAAAAUCCCUGAUUGGAAUGGGGCAGAAUACAUAGUUGAAUUUAUUUGAAUCGAAUGAAAUGCUUUAGUAAAUAGAAACUGCAAGUUAUUUUGUCACCUGGCAACAUCAAAACGGGCUACAACAUCUCCCCAGUCAUCCCAAUCAUUCCCAAUUAUACUGUACAUGUUCACUACACUACUUACACUUUUGGCCAUCAUAGGUGUUGCUCCAAUUCCAGGAGAUACAGAAUAUAAUAUAGGUCUUUGAUUCCUCAAAAGCUGCAGGCGCAAGCACAUAUACAUUAUACUUAGGAAACAUGAUAUCUAUUUCUCAAAUUACCAAAUGCAUUAAUGAUACAGUUAGCAGCGUACCAAUGAUGCAUAGGAUAUUUCAUUCAUAUCCAAGUCCUUACCAAACACACAAUCUUGUCUCACUGAUGCAUCAUAAAACUAUAUCAAACAACUUUACAAAGUAACUAACUUCUGUUAUUUACUAGACUUUUGGUAAAAGCAUGUAUAGUUGAGUCUGCUUACCAAAAUCAACACCCCAACUGGCAUACAGUUGAUAGAGAUCUGCCAAGAAGAACCUUCCUGCUUGAAAGGUUGUAUUCACACUCAUGAAACCAUUUUGCAUCCCAGCACAAGUCCUUUCCUUGAUCCCUAUAUCUUGUGCAGUCCAAAUUUUUCCAUUGACAUGAUCGUAAACGUUCCCCUGGAUAAAAGGAACAAAUGAAAUUUCAAGCAUAAGUAUGACAGAUCAAUGAUAUUGCUAGCCAAUACAUGAUACAUUUGUGUUUAAACAAAAGUUCAUAUACUAUGAUAGUCUACGGACCAAGAGAGGAUCCAAGAUACGAGUAUUGGCUUCUACAGCUUGUGUGUUUAUUCCUCUCAUAACAUUAAUUCCAAACUUCAAACCCAUUUUAUGUAUUCUAUCUGCCAUUUCAGUAAACCCUUUCCCACCUUUGGAGCUAGGCCACCUAUCUGGAUCAGGCAUCGGUCUCCCCCAUUCAUCGAUUACAUCAAACCCAAGAUUGUCUGCACUAGCGCCGGUCACAUUUCUCCUAUACCACAGAUGGUCCACAACUACAUACUGCAUUCAAGAAAGAUGAAGUAUAAUAUAAACACAGUAUAUAUUCUGAGUAAUUCUCAGGAUAGAUAAUCAAACUCUUGUUGUUCGCUUUCUGUAAACAACACAACACACCUCAUAUCCAUGAGGAAGUAACUUCUUGGAGAUGAUUUCGGCAUUUUGCAAAAACUCUUUCUCUGUAAUAGUCCAGCUGAUUGCGUUAUAGGAGUUCCAACCUCUAGGUGGGGUGCUAGCAAGUUCUUGUGACAAUACCCUGAUAUCAAUUGUCAUUUGCAAAGUUACACUCGCAUAUAUAGCUGCAUCCUGAAUAGAUUUUUGAUAGCCAUGAUUACCUUGAGAUGAUCAAUGUAAAUGUACUUAUGAAAAACACUUAAAAAGGAGUAUUACAGCCCUACAGAUUGUUGUACAUGCUCUUUUGAUUAUUGAAAGAAAUUAAAAAUAAUAAAAGUGGUAAGAAGGUACCGACACCAGAACACCUUAGAUCACAACUACAUUACUCAAAUGCUUAAGCUUCAUGAAAUGGAUCAACAAUGAAUAUCAAGCAUUGCAUUCCUAUAGCAGAUACCAUAUCAAAAAAAGAAGUUAGCGGAUGCAAUUUUGUAACACAGGAAGGUACUCAACGUCUUCAAGCAUUAGGACUACCAAACUAUGCAAAUUGUGGGACGCCGCACCAUCUUUAUACAAGGACUAGAAGCAACUCACAAUUUGGAAGUAGAAUGGUGACUGUGAAACAAAUAUUGGUGGAUAUUUUGGGUUAUUGAGUUAGGGAUCAUUCUUAUAUUCAAUACUCAAUACAAAGCAAACAAUGAGAACAUGUGAUGAAAACAGUAGUAAAAAUGGAAUUACCUCUGAUUAAAAAGAUCCACCCACCUUGAUUCAUCUCCAUUAUGGACAGAGUUUUGCCUUCACAAGAUCAAAAUCCAUUAUCAAUGAAAUGGAUAAACCCUGGUCUCAUACUAGCAUAGUUAUUCAAACAUGUAUAAAAACUCUAAUUUAGUACUGUUUUACUCGAAAUUGGGACUCUAUGUGAUUUGAAAGUUGAGGCCCCGAGCUGGUAAGGAAGAAACAUAGGUAGCUCAAUAGGAAUCUGCAGAUGUUCAUCACUAGCAGAGCAGAGAACUUCAACUGUAUGGACUAUGGUGAAGAAUCUAAACAGACAGAGGGGAAUGUAGCUAAGACUAAAAACACCAUCUCAACUCUGAAGCCAUUUUCAUUGGAACACACUAUCAAUGUCUUCAAGAUUUGUAUUGAUUUAAUUCUAUAAGCAGAUUAGAAUUCCAAUCCUGGUCCUGUUACAUCUUAAAUUUCAGUGCAUUCAAACUUGGUAUUAAUUAACAAUAAAUGGUGAUUCUUAACUACCCACAAUCGCAGAAUUCCAAUCAAACUUUUCUAAAGCUGUUGACCUGUGGCAAAACUGAGUUGGCAAAGCUGAGGAAGCCUAAACACCAAAAAUUCCACAAACAAUAACCAUUUUGGGUCUGGGAUAAGAGAGUGAAAGUAAAGCCUGGAAUGAGAGAUGAAGAUGAAAAGGAAUCUUCAAGUAAACAACUUGACCACAUUGCAGUAGGCUAUAGAUUCCAUCCCAUCAAAUAAGCCCAAGUGAAAAUGUUGGUAUUUGAUGGUAUGGAUUUAUAGCCUGCAGCACUUAGGUCAAAUAUCAGGUUUCCAUUUUUCAGAGAGGUGAAUUAUGAGUCGGUGGAAUCACAGAAAGGUUUCAACUUUAUACUCUCUUGCAGAAAAUUGAUUUGGGUAAUUAAUCAAGGGAAUUAAGAUUUGGACCCUUAAGAUUUGACAAAUGUUGAUUGAUUUGUUCCCUUUAGUCUGAGACCACAAUUUUUCACCAAAACUGUGGACAAUAACCCCCACUGUUUUUGGCUAGGAUUCUACGUUAAUCUAAAUAAUGAUUUAUAAGCAAACUUGGCAAUGGUAAUCUUUGCAGUGUUUAUUUUUGUGGAUUAUAAUCAGGGAACAAAGAUUAUGAGCUUCUUUUGUUCAGUGUGUAUCUCCUAGCUCUUUUUCUGUUUCAGACAUUUUAAACUGACAAAACUUGGUAUUGGGUUAAAACCCAAAGUUGAGAUGACAAAAGAGAUGGAUAGUUAGUUAUUAGUAUUCCCAGGGAUUACAAAUCCAUAAAAUAGACCCUUUCAGACAAAAUCAACAAUCCAAAUUUAAGGAGUGGUAAUUUCUUAUGUCAUAUAUGGUUGAGAGAACCAUUAAGUACAACAAACAGAAAGGUAAAACUAACAUACAACAACUUGCCAGAGCCUUAAGCACUAGUACAUUCGGCAAUGCCAAGCAUACUGUGAUCAAUAUUAAACUACAUACUGUGUAUCCUAACCCUGUGGAGUCCACUUCAACCAAAUUAGACCUCUCUAAGCUGAAAACUCUAUCACAUCUUCUUCUUCACAAUGCCCUCGAGAAUCCCAUCAGUCUCAAAGGAGCCAGUGAACUGCUGGAAAUCAACUGGGCCAGGAAGGUGGAAGGAGAUAGAGAAGUAACCUGCUGGGGCAAGGUUCUGUGUGAGCAUCUGAAAGACCAUGGAGUUCUUGCACACUGUUUUCUCGCCUGUUGUAGUCACUCCUUUAAUUUUCACUUCUCCAUCAGCCUCAAUGGAACAACUAAAAUCUGCAUUCCAAAGUAUCAAUCAGGACAUUGUCAAUAAUAUCCAAGAUAUGUUGAUGGAGAAGAACAAUACACAAUUUUCACAACGAGUGGACUACCCAAUUAUUGGUAGCUAAAACAGAACUGUUACCAAAUACAGAGAAAAAGCACAUGCAUGACUAAAGUAGAUAAUUAUUUAAUAAUAUCAAACCUCUGUCAGAACGAUAUGAACUUAAUAUACCGAUUUAUAUCUAAUCACAGAAAACAUUAUUCUUUGCGAUAACGAAUGCAAAUCAGGGAACAUGGCUUCCUUCAUAUAAUCCAGAAAUGAUGCUUUUCUUUAUCUUAAACAAUUAAAUGUGUUAGCAAUAACAGCAGUAAUCAUCAAGUAUCUAAACUAGAUGGUUACUCACUUUCAUCCCUUGAAACACCUGGCAGGGAUACGCGAAAUAAGUACGAGUCAUCAGCUUCACCAAUGUCGACCUUUCCUAUUAUGGGUCCCAGCUGUCCUGUUGCAGCAACUCCAGUCAAUACAACCCCUUUGCUGGUUUCCAGAAUUCUAUCCCGCUCUUCUCUUGUUGCGAGUGAAGGUAGAAGCACCAUAGCUGGCUCCAUUUUCCUUUGUUCACCAGACUCUCUGGCGCCUGAUCUCUCUGUGCUUGGGGGAAUAUACGGCAUGCUAUUUAAAGGUGCCACAUUGAAAAUGGGUUUGUCAGGAUCAAUAUGAUCUGCUUCGUUACUUUGACCUGCCUUUCCAAAACUACAAGAAGAACUCAACUCUAUCACAAAUUGCAAAUAUCUAAAGAUAAAUAACAUCUAUACUGCAAUGGAAAGAAACUUUUAUUCCGCAUAACAAUUACAAGAUUAGUUGAUGAUAAUACUCAAAUAGCGACACAUACAACACAAUCACCAUCUAUCAAUAUAUAAGAAGAGAGUACAAACAAGUCAACCAGCAGUCUACAUAAGAUAAAGAAACCACACACAACCUACACAAGAAACUGAAACAUGGACAAAGCAACCGAAGCCCACAAAGAACUACAACAUCAAGCAAAACCCUGUGCUGAAAAUAGAACACUAAUCUAGAAACAAGAAAUUUUGUAUACCAUGGAAUGCCAGUAUCUUAACAAGCUUUGUUGUCCUCAAUGUUCAUUUGGUAGUGUCAUAUUUAUAGACAUGUUCGAUAGGCAAAUACUAUGGGCCUGAUUUACAUAUGGCGCACCUUGUUUAUAUUGAGUGUGACAGACACUACUUCAAUUAGCUUUAUUCUACCGACCUGAUUACAAACGGCAUAUCUGGUUUUCUCAAAGAAAGCAACAGGUGUUACACCUAUGGCCGAACCUGACAUAAUGUGCAUCAUAUUUUCUGUUAGCAGCAUCAUACUAACCAGAUUUACACAUAGAGUGUAACGAACAUUACUUCUCUUGGCAGUAUCAUAUAUUUCCUAUCACGCUUACAUACUGCGCACAUGGUUUUUACAUAGAGUGGAAAAGGUAUUGAUUCUCAGGGCAUACUUCUUCCUUUCUUAAAAUCAGAGCAAUCUGGACUGGACUUGUAUAUGGAAGAAGCUAUUCUUUAUGAUUUCAUGUAUUUUCCUCUAUAUACAGCACUACGAUUAUCGGGUAGGUAAUUCGCUAUAGGUGGUAUUCGAAAGAUUGAAACUAUGAAGGUAAUACACGUACUGCACACCACAUUCCUAUUAGAAAGUACUAGAACUACAUUAUGAUACAUACCAUAUCAUAUGGUACCUCCUUCACAUAAGGUUGUCAUUUAUUUCCAUAUACAAGCCAAAAUUUACAGACAAAAAAACUGUACAUUUAUAAGCUAUGGAUACGAAACCCACUACUUUUCCAUACUUAUUAUAUGCUAGUGUGUUGCAAAUACCAUAAUCUACUAUUCCUUAAUUAGUUAUUGACUUGUCCUUCACUUGCUUAUCAGACUAACAAAACGAAUUCCUUCCAAAUGUUAAUAGGAUGUCAUAGAAAACCGGAAUGAAAGUAAAUGAUGUAAUAAAUAGGCUUAUGAUCAAGAACUAAUCAAACUUCUAACAUACCAUUUCAGCAAAACGGUUUCAUUUAUCCGAAAUUCUGAACUUCUUUCUUUUAAAAAGCGCGGGAAUGUAUCAAGUGUUGCUAUCGUAAAAGGACUCCAAGAUUCCGAUUGCAUGACAUGUUUGAACCUUUGUUCAAUUUAAUAAAAGAAAAAUGCUUCUCAAGACCAAAAGACCAACAUCCCAUAAAAUCCACAUCGAACUCCAAAUUCCAAAUCACCCAUGAAAAUCACAUUUUGACCCAUCAUGAUCCCUAACAUUUCCUCGAAAACAUGAUGCUGGCACCUAUAACCAUAAUUUUCAAACAAACAGUUUCGAAACUCCAUCAGCCAAAAACAAACCCUUUCUUCCUUAGCGUCAACUCAAUCCAAAUAAAUCCCAAAUCCAAUAAAACUUCAACCAAACAGAUGUUUAUCUUUUCUUAUUCAUACCAACUUUCACCAAAAAUUGGCUCUUCAUAUAAACACACUACAAGAAAUUCACACACUCAAUAAACACAGCAUCAAACAUGCAAACAUACCAAUCUAUUUACAGCAUCAUAAUCACAAAAAAGAUAACAACUUUAUACAAAACAGACAUGUAAAUCGCGAUUAAGCCACAUGAAAUUGCAGAUAUGGCUCCCCAAAAUUAGUCUACGAGUAAUUGAAAGCAGUAAUGUAAAAGAGUAUUGAACUUUAUACAUGUGCAUUUUAGUAUGCGAAUUGGUUAAGAGUAAAUGAGUGUGGGUUUACCUAGGCGUGCCGGAAUAAGCCAUCGGAGAGUGAUCGGAGAUGGACUAAAACGGCGUCGUACCGAGGAGCUGGUUUGGGUUGGUGUUGAAGUGUACUGACAAAGACUGAGCUGUGAUUAAAUAGUGGGAGCAGCUAGAGUGAGAAUAUUGAGGUGUGAAAAGGUGCAGCUUAACUAUUAUGAGCCUCAGCUGAGCUGGGAUAAUAGUUACCAAAUUAAGUAAUUAAUAAAGAUGAUUUUCGGAAUUUAUUAUUAUUGUACCACAUUGUUGAACUCAUUUUCAGCUGUUCGAUUUGAGUUUAGUCUUUGGUAAACUGACUUAACUCUUAAUUCGAUACUUACGUUUGUAUGAAAUCCGAGAUUCUUCUUUUAUAAGGGAGCAUAUUUUGAAUCGAUUGGAAUACCCCCGAGUUUUAUGUCGAUACACAAGACUCUUGUUCUUGUUAAAUUUUCAAUUUUCAAUUCUGGAACCUUAUUUAUAUGAUGAUUUAAUGUUUAGAUUGUUUUCUAUUUUGGAUUGGAUUAUUAUUAUCUAUUUUUGGAUUUCUAUCUAUUUUGGCCAAUAUGACUGAUUAGUCAUGUUGUGUGAUGCUUGACCUUGACUCCGGCAACAACAUCACUACAUAACUAGGCUCUCAAGAACAACCAAGAGUUCAUCAAGAACCGUCGUGACAGUGUACAUGUACCGGCAGGCAAGGACGGGGGACAUGGUCCCAUGGUUGUUGCCAAGGAGCAGCCCUCUACAUUCUAGACUUUACUGUACUGAAUUGGUUAAUCUGGAUGUAUAGAGUUGCAGAAAAUUGUAGACAUAACACAAGUAUAGCACAUUACUUCUCUCUUUUAUGUUGUCAGUGAUCAUUUCGUUCACUAUGGAUAUAUCUCUGCUGGAAAUGCUCUGAAUAUAGAGAGAUUGUGCUCAUUCUCAGUUAAGUUUAGGUUCAUUUGAAGCAAAAUGGAAUUAGUGCAGGUUUCAAAUUGAUUUCUAGUGCAAUUUGUGAUCAUAAUGAAAUACAAGGGGGAAAAUUGACAAGGGGAACUUUUUUGCAACCAAAGCUGUCUUAUUGAACAUUUUGCAGCAACAUACAUUCAUUUUCUGAUUAUGAGGAACUCCAAAUUAUGUUCAUUCUACAACUUCAUUUUCAGAUCCAUCAUAUUUUAUUUUUGGAUCCAAUGCUUGGCUUUGGUUAGAUCUGCUCCCUUCCAUGCAUGGUUGCAGAACCCAGAUACGGUUUCUACGGUCGCUACAACAAAUAUAAGUAAGAUCAUUAGAUACAUUAGCACUCACAAUGAAAAACAAAUUGUUGUCAUUAAUCUAAUUUGUAAACACGGGAUGAAUGAUUGAACUUCUCGAUGUAGAAGUAAAGUUAUGGGAGAUUGCAUUAUAAGCAAAGAAAAGUAGCUCCCAUGAAAGCAAACAACAUAAUCUAACACUAAACUCCACAAUGAAACUAUUUUAAAAAGACAAUUCUUUUCUUUUUCUUAGUCAUAUAUACCUUGGUGUAUGCAGGAGGGGCCUGUUCCUGUUAAAUUUUCCACUAAUCCAAUAUGUUUCUUUGAAACACCUAAAUCAGGAGAUAACACUUAAUGUAACAUCUCGGACCAAAUUUUACCUAUUUACUGGGUAUUCUACGAGUUAUUGAGGAAUUCAACCAUGCUCGGUAAUUUAACACUCGAGUUUAUUUUCGAGUUUUUCUCAAAAUGUUAAACUCUUCUUUUACAGCCCUAGUGUCGUAGCACGCGACGAUAUAAAUUCACCAAUGUCCUCGGAUUUAUUUUUCGGAGCUUCGAGCUAUUUUCUACGUUUUAUCGAAGUUUGGUAAAAAGAUUGUUUCCUGAAAUUCAAUCUCUGCUAUUUGAUCAACUAGGGUUUCUUUUUUUUCUUUUUUUUAUCGUGGCCGUCGAUUAAAGCAUAAGGAGAAUUGAAAGGCUGACUUUCGGUCAAAGACCCAUCUCGGCUUUGACCCGAGUCUCUCUCCUUCCUCUCUUUCUCACCGCAGCCACAGCUUCUCCGAUCGGAAACUUGGCCGUCCGGCCACCCCUGGCGACGGGACUGCCACCAAAGUGAUCCUCUUCUCCUUCUCUUCCUAGCCCAGCCUUUAAACUCACUUGAAACCCCAAUCUUAGAGCAGAUCAACAAAGAGGAGCACGGCUGUGUUCGCCGUUUUCGGCGAGCUCCGGCAGCGACAACGACAAUGAUCGGUAGGGUUCUUCUCCUCUUUCUUUCUUCUUUCUUUCUAUGCCUUUCACUCUUCAAAUCGAGUUCGAAUUCGGAAAGCCCUCUUUGGUGUUUCUAGGUUUUCGUCGAGUUUUUCCGAUGGGUUGUUCUUGGAGCUCCGGCAGGACUUCCGAGCUCUGGUGAGUCUAGAAGCAGUUGAGUAGAGCUCAGUCGCGCCUUGUAGGGAUUUAAGAGCAGCAGGCAUGAUUUGGGAGCGGAGCAGAAGCUUAGGGUGUUGCUGCCGUGGUGUUGGAGGCGUUGGUGAGCUUGUGUGUUGUUGAAAGCCACGGUUUGCAGUAGCUGUAUUGGCUGACAAUGAACUCAGUCCGGCAAAGGUGCUAGCAAGGUGAGAAAUCUCUUAAGUUUUUGCUCGGUUGGGUGAUUGAAAUGUUCUGUGUUUUUGUGAUAUGGUGGAUUGGUGUUUAAGAUUGGGUUUUGUUGCUUGUUGUCGAGAACUUGGUGUUUUUGAAGAAGGCGGGGAGGUCAUGGCGAAAUUCCGGCAAGUGGCCGGAAUCCGGCAAGAAUAUUCCGGCUAGUCGUCGGAAUCCGGCAAGGGGUUCUGACGAGGCAGCAUAUCCGGCUGAGAGUUGUUAAGGUAGUUUUGAGUCUGAUAAAUGAUAUUGAUGCCUUAAGAGGAAUUGAUGUUGGAGUUUAAAAUUGUGGGCCGCUAAAGAGCCGCUUUAACCUGCCAUUGGACUGCCUUGACCCUCCUAGACCUGCGUAGGGACUUCCUAGACUCGCCAAGGGGCUACCGAGACAUGUCUGGGGCUGCCAAGAGGCUACCGAGAAAAAAUUAGAGCUGCCAAGGUGGCGCCUUGACCCAUUGAGAACCUCCUAGGGGCCGCUUUAACCUGUCAAAGGGCUGCCGAGACAAACUUAGAGCUGUCAAGGGGGCGCCUUGACCUGCCAAGGACUGUUAAGGGGUUGACGCGCUCGUUUCCGAACGUGCGACAAUUAUGAACCCUGUUUUGACAAUUGUAGUAUUGGUAAAUAAGGUUCGAUCAAUCCAGGGACUUUAGGGUGCUCCUGCGUUUACAAAACUAAAUAUAUUAGAAUCUAAUUUAAGAGUUAUUUACAGAAUAUAAACAGCAAUUACAUUUACACGAUUUUAGGGGGGAUUUUAGGAUUUGUUCUAACAUUCCUACGAAAAUAGUAAAUAAAGUAUAAUAUAUACAAGUGAUCAUCUUCCACACACAUCAACCAGCAAUUUCAGAAUCAGUCAAACAAAUAUCAACAUGUCUCAACCAUAUAAUCAAAUUCGUCGCCAAGUGAUAACAAAAACAAACUCGAAACACAAGCCGCAGCGGUCAUGCAUUCCUUUAAUUCUACUUAAUUUAUAUCAUAAGCACAGAGAAGUCUAGAACCUAAGAUAUUUCAUGCAAAGGCUGCGAUCGAUACUUUGUGUCACUCAAAGUACCCGUCUACUUUAUGUCACUCAAAGUACCCGUCUACUUUAUGUCACUCAAAGUACCCGUCUACACUAAACAUGAAUCAUUAAGUGCUAUAGAAUUCUGAAUUUGAACAUGCCCAAGUUUACAAGGGGCUGCUUAACUUGUAAGCAUGUAACACACAGUUUCGGCUAUUAUUACAUAGCCUUUGCCACUGGAGAUCUACACUUACUUGAAGAAGCUUAGUAUAGAUCAUAACAACACUAACCUGCAGAUUAGAGUUUUGGUGAAAACAAAACUAUGCAUUUAAUGAAUCAACAAGGCAACAAAACAGAACACAUAAUAUCAUAGACAAGUCGAACACAUGCUUAAAUUACUCUGAAAAUUCUCAAUUUUGAAUCCAAAGCAUCCAUCCAAUCUUAAAGAUGAAUUCAUAACUUCAAUCCAAAAACCAAAACAGAAACGAAGAAAGCAGAAAGUACUAGACAUUGUUACACUUUUAUUGGUUCUACGAAGGUCUUUCGAGACGGUAGAGUGAAAGCAGACACCUAGAGGACUUCAGAGCUUCUUGGAAAGUCCUAAGGAGCACCGGCUUCUUGCUUCUUGGCUUGGAGAUGUUCGGCAAAGGAAGAGAGAAAGAGAACGUUGUUUACUGAUUUCUGUGCGAAGAAGAGAUGAAGAAAACGUUUCUCUCUGCUCCUUUAUAUAGUGUCUUGGCCAAACCAUAGCUAUCCUCCUAGCCCUUGAUUGAUUUGUGAUCCAACGGUGUAGAAUUAUUGCUUUAAAUCUGAUUUAGACUUUCUCAGAAUUCUCUGAAAUGUCUUGUGCAGUAAUCUAUUGCAUAAGGCUUGAAUAUGGACCAGGUACACUCCUUGUUCUCCAAAGGAAAUCCCUGUGAUUAAGAACUUUCCCUAUUCUGCUAUCAAUCAGGUCUCUGACGAAAAUCCAUGAUUUUCCUCUAUUUCUUGGUGCGCAAUUAGGGUUCCUGCAAGGGAAAUAAAAUCAGAUAGAUAUGGUAGGGAAUAACAGAAUUUAAAUGACGAAUUUAAAGGAAAGAAUCUCCCUUAAUUCUCUGAUUAGCAAAUAUAAAAUCCUUGAUUGCUGCAGAAUUCGUCCUCCCCCUUUUAUACACAUUCACAGAUUCCUAUUCCAAGUUGGAUUAGGUUUUCUGACUGCAAAUGGUUUCCCUGUCUCAUUAGAAAAGAAAGUUUCCUAAUUAUUUUAGGAAAGUCAGAAUAGGAAAGAUUCAGAAAUAGUAAGUUUCCUAAAUCAAAAUAAGAAAGUUUCUUAAAAUGAAAUAGGCAACUUUUCCUUUUCAAAACAGGAAAGUUUCCUAAACGACUUAUACUUUGAUUCUGUGACUUAAUGAGACUCCUUGCUGCACCAGGAAUCCUCCUUUGAUUAGGAUUUCACUCAACUCUUGUGUUUUAGCCUUCUUUUGUGUAAAACUGCCUCUUUUGACCUACAACACAGAAACAAGCAAGAAAUGACAUUAUUAAGGAAUUAACGAAGCUAAAUAGGGUAGGAAAUACAUUAAGAAUAUAGCAUAAAAUGCGCGUAUCAGGGGUCGCUUUGACUUGCCAAAGGACCGCCUUGACCCUCUCCUAGACCCGUUUUGGGGGUGCCUAGACCCGCUAAGGGGCUACCGAGACACGUCUAGGGCUACCAAGGGGAUAACGAGACAAACUAAGAGCUGCCAAGGGGUGCCUUGACCCGUCGAGGGCCGCUUUGACCCUCUUAGACCCGUGUAGAGACCACCUAGACCCGCUUAGGGGCCUCCAUGACUCGCAAAUGGGUCGCCAUGACCCUCCUAAGCCAGUCUAGGGCCACCAAGGGGUCGCCAAGACCCGCCUAAGCCCGUGUAGGGCUGUCUUGACCCGUGUAGGGCCGCCUUGACCAGCUUUGGGCCGCCUUGACCCUCCUAGGCUCGCCUAGGGUACCCAAGGAGCCACCUUGACCUGCUUGGCUUGCCUUUGACCGCCUUGACCUGCCUUCACCCACAUAGGGCCGCCAAGAGGCCGCCUUGACCCUCCUAGGACCGCCAAGAGCCCACCUUGACAUGUUUAGGGCCACCAAGGGGCCGCCUUAACCCCGCUAGGGCCGCCAAGUUGCCACAUUCACGCGUCUAAGGCCACCAAGGGGCAGCCAUGACUCGCAAAGGGGUCGCCAUGACCCUCCUAAGCCCGUGUAGGGCCGCCUUGACCAGCCUUGGGCCGCCUUGACCCUCAUAGGCUCGCAUUGACCUGCCUAGGGCCGCCAAGUGACCGCUUUGACCCGCCUUAGGCCGCCUUAGCCUGCUUUGACUCGCCUUAACCCGCCUUGGGCCGCCUUAACCCUCAUAGGGCCGCCAAGUGGCCGUCUUGACCCGCCUUUGUCCAAGGGACCACCUUGACCCUCCUAGACCUACGUACGAACCACCUAGAUCCGUUUUGGGGCCGCCUAGACCCGUUAAGGGGCUGUCGAGACACGUCUAGGGCUAACAAGGGGAUGACGAGACAAACUGAGAGCCGCCAAGGGGGCGUCUUGACCCGUCGAGGGCCGCUAAGAGGCUGCUUUGACCCUCCUAGACCCGCGUAGAGACCACCUACACUCGCUUAGGGGCCUCCAAGACCCGCUAAGGGGCUCCCGAUACAAAAUUAUAGCCGUCAAGGGACCACCUUAACCCUCCUAGACCCAUAUAGGGACCACCUAGACCCACUUAGGUACUGCCUAGACUCGCCAAGGGUCGCCGAGACACGUCUAGGGCCACCAAGGGGAUGCCGAGAAAAACAUAGAGCCCCCAAGGGGAGCCAUGAUCCACCGAGGACCGCCAAGGGGGCGCCUUGACCUACCGAGGGCCGCCAAGUGGCUGCUUUACCCUACCAAGGGACCGUUGAGACAAACUUAGUGAUAGGUGCAUUUUAUGCAACGUUCUUAAUGUAUUUCCGACCCUAUUUAGUUAUGUAAUUCCUUUAACAAUAUUGAUUUUAACUUAGUUUGUGUUUUUAGGUCACAAAUAAAGCCGAGGAGCACAAAAGAGGCAAAAGAGGAGAAAUCUUGAAGGAAAAGGAAUCCAUAUGGCGCAAGGAAAGAAAUCAGAAAAUCUGCCAGGAAUAGUCAGUCAACUUCGACAGAGAAUUGUGAUCAGGUCACAACGAUCCAGGAGAUGAACUUUAUAUCAGCAGAAAGCUAGAAGAGUCUAGUUUUCAGAACUUUUCGCAGAUCGUCAAUAGCUAUUUUGGUGACCAAGUUAUGACCAUUUGAGUGACCAAAGGUCAGUCUGCCCGAAUUUCUGAUUUGGACCGGAACUUCAAUUUCAAGGCCCAGACCACAACGGCGAGCCCAUGGACGAAAAUUAAAGGUUCUCUAACCCUAAUAGCAGCUGUUAAUAUGUUCUCUAUNNNNNNNNNNNNNNNNNNNNNNNNNNNNNNNNNNNNNNNNNNNNNNNNNNNNNNNNNNNNNNNNNNNNNNNNNNNNNNNNNNNNNNNNNNNNNNNNNNNNNNNNNNNNNNNNNNNNNNNNNNNNNNNNNNNNNNNNNNNNNNNNNNNNNNNNNNNNNNNNNNNNNNNNNNNNNNNNNNNNNNNNNNNNNNNNNNNNNNNNNNNNNNNNNNNNNNNNNNNNNNNNNNNNNNNNNNNNNNNNNNNNNNNNNNNNNNNNNNNNNNNNNNNNNNNNNNNNNNNNNNNNNNNNNNNNNNNNNNNNNNNNNNNNNNNNNNNNNNNNNNNNNNNNNNNNNNNNNNNNNNNNNNNNNNNNNNNNNNNNNNNNNNNNNNNNNNNNNNNNNNNNNNNNNNNNNNNNNNNNNNNNNNNNNNNNNNNNNNNNNNNNNNNNNNNNNNNNNNNNNNNNNNNNNNNNNNNNNNNNNNNNNNNNNNNNNNNNNNNNNNNNNNNNNNNNNNNNNNNNNNNNNNNNNNNNNNNNNNNNNNNNNNNNNNNNNNNNNNNNNNNNNNNNNNNNNNNNNNNNNNNNNNNNNNNNNNNNNNNNNNNNNNNNNNNNNNNNNNNNNNNNNNNNNNNNNNNNNNNNNNNNNNNNNNNNNNNNNNNNNNNNNNNNNNNNNNNNNNNNNNNNNNNNNNNNNNNNNNNNNNNNNNNNNNNNNNNNNNNNNNNNNNNNNNNNNNNNNNNNNNNNNNNNNNNNNNNNNNNNNNNNNNNNNNNNNNNNNNNNNNNNNNNNNNNNNNNNNNNNNNNNNNNNNNNNNNNNNNNNNNNNNNNNNNNNNNNNNNNNNNNNNNNNNNNNNNNNNNNNNNNNNNNNNNNNNNNNNNNNNNNNNNNNNNNNNNNNNNNNNNNNNNNNNNNNNNNNNNNNNNNNNNNNNNNNNNNNNNNNNNNNNNNNNNNNNNNNNNNNNNNNNNNNNNNNNNNNNNNNNNNNNNNNNNNNNNNNNCUGUUCUAUGGAACAGUAGCUACUUUUGUAAAUUGUUUAAAUGUUUUAUUACUUGUUAAUAUUUGUUGUGUUUUUCUAACGCUUUGUUUUGCAAGGUACCCUCAAUCCCCGGCCCUAUACGAUACCCUACUUACUCAAUGCUACUAACGAUAAAAAGGGUUUAUUUGAUGCAGGUUUUGCACCCGUCACUUAGAGCUGCCAAGGGGGCGCCUUGACACGCCAAAGAUCGUUAAAAGGCCUCUUUGAACUGCCAACAGACCGCCUUGACCUUCUUAGACCCACGUACGGACCACCUAGAGCUGCUUAGGGGCCGCCUAGACUUGCCAAAGGGGCAGCCUAGACACGUCUAGGGACGCCAAUGGGCUUCUAAGAUAAACUUUGAGUCGCCAAGGGGUCGCCUUUGCCUUCCAAAGGGCUGCCUUGACUCACCUAGACCCUCCUAGGCUCGCCUAGGGCCACCAAAGGGCCGCCAUAACCCUCUAAGCCCAUCUAGACCCGCCUUGGGCCGCCAUGACCUUCUUAGACUCGCCUAGGGUAGCUAAGGGGCCGCCUUGACAUCCCUAAGGCUGCCAAGCGGCCGUCUUGGGAAACCUUGACCCGCAUUAACCCGGCAAUAAGACGUCUUAACCUAUUUAGGGCUAUCAAGGGGCCGCCUUAACCCGCCUAGGGUAGCUAAGGGGCCGCCAAGACCCUCCUUGGGCUGCCUUUGACUACCUUGGACCGUUUUUGACCGCCUUGACCCGCCUUGGGCCGCAUUGACCCUCAUAAGGCCGACAAUAAGGCACAUUGACCCAUCUAGGGCCACCAAGGGGUCGCCUUAACCCGACUAGGGCCGUCUUGACCCGCCCUAGGCCGCCUUAGACCGCCUUGACCCCCCUUAACCCACCAAAAGGCACCUUGAAACCCCUUGACCCGUCUUAGGCCGCCUUGACCCUCCUAAGACCGCCAAGGGGCCGCUUUCACCCUCUUAAAGCAACCAAGAGGUCGCCUUGACCCGGCUAGGGCCGCCUUAACCCGCCUUAACCCUGCAAGGCCGUCGUAGGCUCGCCUAGGGUAGCCAAGCGGCCGCCUUGACCCGCCUUGGACCGCCUUGACCCGUCUUAACCCAUCUUGGGCCAUAUUGACCCUCAUAAGGGCCGCCAAUAAGGCGCCUUAACCCAUCUAGGGCCACCAAGGGGUCGCCUCGACCCGCCUUGGGCCGCCUUAACCCGCCAAGAGCCGCCUUGACCCGCCCUAGGCCGCCAAGGGGCCACUUUCACCCUUUUAAAGCCACCAAUAGGCUGCCUUGACCCUCCUAGACCCGCCUAGGGUAGCCUUGACCCGUGUAGGGCCACCAUGACCCUUCUAGGCUCGCCUCGGGUAGCCAAGGUGCCACCUUGACCUGCCAUGAUUAGCCUUGACCCGCCUUGACUCGCCAUGGGCCACCUUAACCCACCUUGGGCCGCCUUGGACCGCCUUAACCCGCCUUGGAUCACCUUGACCCACCUUGACUCGCUUUGAACCGCCUUGACACUCCUAGACCCGCCUAAGACCGUCUUGACCCUUCUAGACCCUCUUAGGGCCAUCAAGGGGCCGCUAUGACUUGCCAAGGGGUCGCCAGGACCCUCCUAGGCCCCGCCUUGACCCUCAUAGAGCCGCCAAUAGGGCACCUUGACCCAUCUAGGGCCACCAAGAGGUCACUUUGACCCGACUAGGGCUGCCAAGGAACCGCCUUGGGCCGCCUUGACACGUCUAGGGCAACCAUGGGCCGCCUUGAAAAGCCUUUACCCACCUUGGGUUGCCUUGACCCUCCUAGGGCCACAAAGAGGCCACUUUCACCCUUCUAAAGCCACCAAUAGGCCGCAUUGACCCUCCUAGGGCAGCCUUGACCCGUGUAGGGCCGCUUUGGAUCGCCUUGGGCCGCCUUGACCCUUAUAGGGCCGCCAAUAGGGCGCCUUGACCCAUCUAGGGCCACCAAGGAGUCGCCUUGACCCGGCUAGGGCCGUCUUAACCUUGCCUUGGGCUGCCUUGACCCUAGAAGGCCGUCCUAGGCUCGCCUAGGGUAGCCAAGCGGCCGCCUUGACCCGCCUUUGACAACCUUGACCUGCCUUUGACCACCUUGAACCGCCUUUGACCGCCUUAACCCGUCUUGACCCUCAUAGGGCCGCCAAUAGGGCGCCUUGACCCAUCUAGGGCCACCGAAAGGUCGCAUUGACCCUCCAUGGGCUGCCUUGACACUACAAGGCCGUCCUAGGCUCUCCUAGGGUAGCUAAGCGGCCGCCUUGACCCGCCUUCGGCCGCCUUGACCCUCAUAAGGCCACUAAUAGGGCGCCUUGACCCAUCUAGGGACCAAGGGGUCGCCUUGACCAGGCUAUGGCCGCCAAGGAGCCGCCCUGGGCCUCCUUGGCCCGCCAAGAGCCACAUUAAAACGGAUUGACCCCCCCUUAGGCCGCCUUGACCCUCGUAAGACCGCAAAGGGGCCGCUUUCACCCUUCUAAAGCCACCACUAGGCCGCCUUGACCCUCCUAGACCCGCCUAGGGCAGCCUUGACCCGUGUAGGGCCGCCUUGACCCUCCUAGGCUCCCCUUGGGUAGCCAAGGUGCCACCUUGACCUUCCUAGGGCCGCUAAGUGGCUGCCAUGAUUAGCCUUGACUCGCCUUGGACCGCUUUUACCCGCCUUAACCCGCCUUGGGCCGCCUUAGCCCGCCUUGACACUCGUAGACCCGCCUAAGGCCGCCUUGACCAUCUUAGGGCCACCAAGUGGUCGCCAUGACCCGCCUUGGAUCGCCUUGGGCCGUCUUGACCCUCAUAGUUCCGCCAAUAGGGCACUUUAACUCAUUUAGGGCCACCAAGAGGUCGCUUUGACCCGACUAAGGCCACUAAGGAGCCGCCUUGACCCGCCUUGACACGACUAGGGCAACCAAAGGCCGCCUUGAAAAGCCUUUACCCACCUUGGGUCGCCUAGAUCCUCCUAGGGCCGCCAAGACGCCUCCUUGACCCCGCUAGGGCCGUCACGAGGCGGCUUUCACCCGUCUAAAGCCACCAAUAGGCUGCCUUAACCCUCCUAGGCGCGCCUCGGGUAGCCAUGGGGCCGCCAAGUGGCUGCCUUGACUAGCCUUGAUCCGCCUUGACCCGCCAUUGGCCGCCAUGACCCGCCUAAACCGGCCUUGGGCCGCCUUAACCCGCCAUGGACCACCUUAACCAUCCUUGGAUCACCUUGGACCGCCUUGACCCGCCAAGAGCCGCCUUGAAAUGCCUUGACCCGCCUUAGGCCGCCUUGACCCUCCUAAGACCGCCAAAGGGCCGCUUUUACCCUCUUAAAGCCACCAAUAGGCUGCCUUGACCCAUCUAGGGUCACCAAGGAGUCGCCUUGACCCGGCUAGGGCCGUCCUAGGCUCGCCUAGGGUAGCUAAGCGGCCGCCUUGGACCGCCUUGACCCGCAUUGUAAUACCCUGUACUUAAAAGGGUUACUGUUUGGGGUUAUGAAUUUCCGUGGAUUUUCUUUAUUCGCGCUUAGAGAUUUAAAUAGUGAUUGCUCGAGUUUGUUUUCGAGUUUUUCUGAAAACGGUUAAUGGUGGAUUUAAAACUCCGAAGUCAUGGUACGCGUUUAUACGAGCUCACCGGUAUGCUCGGAUUAUUUUUUGGAGCAACGAGUUAUGUUCUGUGAAUUUAUGAAGUUUACAGUAAAUUUUCAAUUAUUGUUUCUUGUAACCGUUUUACCGUAAAGGACCCAAAAAGUUGACUUUUCGUUAAGUCGAUAAUUUGGGAAAACUUCUUUCAUGAAAGUCGUAGAGGACGUCAAUACAAGUUCGUGGACACAUGACACGCUCAAAUCGAAGAAAGUUAUGGUCUAAAAAAAAAAGGACGUAGAUAUUUUUGGAAGAAAAAGAGAAGGGUCGAGAAUCUGGAGGAAAGGAUGAAGAGAGAAAAGGAAAGGAAGGUUUGGGAGAGAGGGAGACGGGAUCAAAAAGGAGUUUAGACCCAGACUGGGUCAUCCUUGACCCGAACAGAGUUAACGGGUCAACCCGACGUUUUCUUCGUCCUCCGGCGACGGCGUGGUGGAAGAUUGGUGGCGAUGGCUUCAUCUCGUCCUUCCCGACCUUCCUGUGAUUCCAGUUUGAAGAGUGGAGCUCUGGAGAAGAAGAAUCGAAGAAGGAGAAGAGAGACUGUGUUCGCCGGCGAGUCUCCGAUUCCGACAGCGUCGACGCCUCUCACUGGUAUGGAUAGCUUCAUCUCGAUCUCAGAAACCUUUCCAUGUUCCUGGUUUUCGAAGAAAAGCUUGGAGGAGGGAGAACCGAAUAAAAGAAGUUCUGGGAUUUUUCUGGUGAGGGUUCGAUGUUUUCCGGUGACCUCCGAGUUCGACUCAGGUAUCAAAGUUGAUCUUCUCUUCGAGCUUUAUCUCUGUAUAUACAUGGAAUUGAGAUUGGUUGAGUUUUGUUGAAUUUGAAUUUGGGUAGUGUUGGCCGUGCGUGGGUGAUGCUGUGUACGGCGGCGGUAGGUGGUUGUUCUGGUAGUUUCUAGUUUUGUUAGUAUUCUGAUUUUAAAGGAGUAGGUUGAGAUGCUUGAAUUCAAUAUUGGUAGAAUUUUGGAGAUUGUGAGAUUUUGGGCAGUGUGUGCGGCUGUUGUACUCGACGACGGCGAUAGUGGUGGUUGAGUAUUUCUGGGUUCUGGUGAGCUUGGCAGUAGCAGUAGAAUCCAAUUGUGUUGCUUGAAUUGUAGAAAGGAGGAAGUUAGGUGAUGGAGAAAUGGCUAUGUGUGUUCUAUUAAUAUGAGACAUCAUUUUACUUGUAUUGCUUUGAUUCAUGCAGUAAAGUUGUCGUACUGUAGGUUUAUUUCUAUGACCUUUGGGAAGGUUGGACGUGCAUUUGGAGUUUGAUUGAAACAUUGAGUCUUUUAGUUUGAGAUAUAGAAGUAUGAGGGUUUGAAAGCGAGAAAAAAAAAUGAUAGUCUUGGGUGUUGAGAGUAAAUUAGGAUGUUGGUUGGUUUAAGAAAUAGAAGGAGAUUAGAAAUCGACAACUCGUCGGUCAUGGCUGUUGUUAGAGACGAAAAGGUAAACUUGACGUCACCUAUGGUUACUAAAUUUCAAUUUUGAACAGUGACUGUGAUUAUGGAUUAUGAGUACUGUUGGGCUAAUGUUGGUGUUGAGUUUGACCUUGUUUUGAAAAGGUGAUUGAUAUUGAUAAUUAUGGAUUUUGUUUGCUAUUCAAAUUGUGCCUAUGCAUUGAAGUGGAUAUUGGAGUGUAUGUAUGGAUUUGGGAUUGGUUUUAGUCGAAAUGGGUGUCCAUAGUAAAUCUAAGUUAGAAUGUUUGGUAAAUUUGGGUUCAAAGUGAAAGAAUGCAGGUUUGAUGAUUGGCAUAAGUUGAGUUUUAUAUUAUUCUAACAAAAUUUUGAUUGGGUAUAUAUAUAUAUGUGUGUGUGUGUGUGUGUGCGCAUACAUAUACACACUCUUUGGCACUUGAGUAGGUUGUUUUGUGAGUUAAGUGUAGGGUUUGGUUAAGUUGAUGAGUUUAAUUAUUCUCCUGGAACUUUAUAUUGGAAUUAGAAUAAAUUGAUAUAGUUUUGAUGAUGCAUGAGGCUUUGUAUGGCCGGGUUGAUUUGAUUUAAUGGGUAUAGAAGAAAACAUUUUAAAUUGGUUUGUAUCAUGAAAUGGUUUUUAUGAGUCCGUAAGUAUGGUUUUGAUUUUGGACUUGUGGUGGUAAAUGAGAUGUUGUUAGUGAAGGUAGAAAAGUAGAAUAAAAUGUUGAACUACUAGUGGCUUGAUCCCUUUAAAAAGGUACGUAGGCAGCCCGAUCAAGUUUUGGGUCCAGCCGCAAAUAACCAAAACAAAUAGGCUGCCAAGAGGCCGCUUUCACCCGUCUAAAGCCACCAAUAGGCCGCCUUGACCCUCCUAAGCUCGCCUCAGGUAGCCAUGGGGCCGCCUUGACUAGCCUUGAUCCGCCUUGACCCGCCAUGACCCUCCUAAACCCGCCUUGAGCCGCCUUAACCAGCCUUGGAUCACCUUGGACCGCCUUGACCCACCAAGAGCAGCCUUGAAACGCCUUGUCCCGCCUUAAGCCACCUUGACCCUCCUAAGACCGCCAAAGGGCCGCUUUCACCCUCUUAAAGCCACCAAUAAGCUGCCUUAACCCAUCUAGGGUCACCAAGGAGUCGCCUUGACCCGGCUAGGGCCACCUUAACCCGCCUUGGGCUGCCUUAACCCUACAAGGCCGUCCUAGGCUCGCCUAGAGUAGCCAAGGGGUCACCUUGACACUCCUAGACCCGCCUUGGAUCGCCUUGGGCUGCCAAUAGGGCACCUUGACCCAUCCAGAGCCACCAAAAGGUCGCUUUGACCCAACUAGGGCCGCUAAGGAGCCACCUUAACCCACCUUGGGCCGCCUUGACACGCCUAGGGCAACCAAGGGCCGCCUUGAAAAGCCUUUACCCGCCUUGGGUCGCCGAGACCUUCCUAAGGCCGCCAAGAGGCCGCUUUUACCCUGCUACGGCCGCAAAGAGGCGGCUUUCACCUGUCUAAAGCCACCAAUAGGCCGCCUUGACCCUCCUAAGCUAGCCUCGAGUAGCCAUGGGGUCGCCAAGCGGUUGCCUUGACUAGCCUUGAUCCGCCUUAACCCGCCAUUAGCCGCCAUGACCCGUCUAAACCCGCCUUGGGCCGCCUUAACCAGCCUUGGAUCGCCUUGGACCGCCUUGACCCGCCAAGAGCAGCCUUGAAACGCCUUGACCCGCCUUCACCCUCCUAAGACCGCCAAGGGGCCGCUUUCACCCUCAUAAAGCCACCAAUAGGUUGCCUUGACCAAUCUAGGGUCACCAAGGAGUCACCUUGACCCGGCUAGGGCCGUCUUAACCCGCCUUAGGCUGCCUUGACCCUACAAGGCCGUCCUAGGCUCGCCUAGGGUAGCCAAGCGGCCGCCUUGACCCGCCUUAGACCGCCUUGUCCCGUCUUGGGCCGCAUUGACCCUCAUAAGGCUGUCAAUAAGGCGCCUUGACCCAUCUAGGGCCACCAAGGGGUCGCCUUAACCCGGCUAGGGCCACCAAGGAGCCGUCUUGACCCGCCCUGGGCAGCCUUGGACCGCCUUGACCCGCCAAGAGCUGCCUUGACCCUCCUAAGACCGCCAAGGGGCCGCUUUCACCCUUUUAAAGCCACCAAUAGGCUGUCUUGACCCUCCUAGACCCACCUAGGGCAGCCUUGACCCGUGUAGGGCCACCUUGACCCUCCUAGGCUCUCCUCAGGUAGCCAAGGUGCCACCUUGACCUGCCUAGGGCCGCCAAGCGGCUGCCAUGAUUAGCCUUGACCCGCCUUGACUCGCCAUGAGCCGCCUUAACCCACCUUGGGCCGCCUUGGACCGCCUUAACCCGCCUUGAAUCACCUUGACCCGCUUUGACACUCCUAGACCCGCCUAAGGCCGCCUUGACCCUCCUAGACCCUCCUAGGGCCACGAAGAGGCCGCCAUUACUUGCCAAGAGGUCGCAAUGACCCUCCUAGGCCCCACCUUAACCCUCAUAGGACCGCCAAUAAGGCACCUUGACCCAUCUAAGGCCACCAAGAGGUCGCUUUGACCCGACUAGGGCCGCCAAAGAACCGCCUUGGGCCGCCUUAACACGCCUAGGGCAACCAAGGGCUGCCUUGAAAAGCCUUUACCCACCUUGGGUCUCAUUGACCCUCCUAGGGCCACCAAGAGACCGCCUUGACCCCGCUUUCACCCGUCUAAAGCCACCAAUAGGCCGCCUUAACCCUCCUAAGGCAGCCUUGACCCGUGUAGGGCCGCCUUCACCCGCCUUGCAUCGCCUUGACCCUCAUAGGGCCGCUAAUAGGGCGCCUUGACCCAUCUAGGGCCACCAAGGAGUCGCCUUGACCCGCCUUGACCCUCCAAGAGCCGCUUUGAAACGCCUUGACCCACCUUAGGCCGCAUUGACCCUCCUAAGACCGCCAAGGGGCCGCUUUCACCCUCUUAAAGCCACCAAUAGGCUGCCUUGACCCAUCUAGGGUCACCAAGGAGUCGUCUUAACCUUGUCUUGGGCUGCCUUGACCCUACAAGGCCGUCCUAGGCUCGCUUAGGGUAGCCAAGCGGCCGCCUUGACCCGCCUUGAACCGCCUUUGACCGCCUUUGACCGUCUUGGACCGCCUUACCCGUCUUGACCCAUCUAAGGCCACCAAAAGGUCGCCUUAACCCGGCUAGGGCCGCCUUGACCCACCAUGGGCUGCCUCGACCCUACAAGGCCGUCCUAGGCUCUCCUAGGGUAGCCAAGCGGCUUCCUUGACCUGCCUUGGACAGCCUUGACCCAUCUUGACCCGCCUUUUACCGUCUUGGACCGCCUUGGGCCGCCUUUGACCACCUUGACCCGCCUUAACCCGCCUUGGGCCGCAUUGACCCUCAUAAGGCCACCAAUAGGGCGCCUUGACCCAUCUAGGGCCACCAAAAGGUCGCCUUGACCCGGCUUAGGCCGCCAAGGAGCCGUCUGGGCCGCCUUGGACCGCCAAGAACCGCAUUGAAACGCGUUGACACGCCUUAGGCCGCCUUGACCCUCCUUGACCCGUGUAGGGCCGCCUUGACCCUCCUAGGCUCCCCUCGGGUAGCUAAGGUGCCACCUUGACCUUCCUAGGGCGGCCAAGCGGCUGCCAUGAUUAGCCUUGACUCGUCAUGGGCCGCCUUUACCCGCCUAAACCCGCCUUGACCCGCCUUGAAAGUCGUAGACCCGCCUAAGGCCACCUUAACCCUCUUAGGCCCUCCUAGGGCCACCAAGGGGCCGCCAAGGGGUCGCCAUGACCCGCCUUGACACCCCUAGACUCGCCUUGGAUCUCCUUUGGCCGCCUUGACCCUCAUGGUUCCGCCAAUAGGGCACCUUAACCCAUCUAGGGCCACCAAGAGGUCACUUUGACCCGACUAGGGCCGCUAAGGAGCCGCCUUGGGCCGCCUUGACACGCCUAGGGCAACCAAGGGCCGCCUUGAAAAGCCUUUACCCGCCUUGGGUGGCCUAGACCCUCCUAGGGCCGCCAAGAGGCCGCCUUGACCCCACUAGGGCCGCCAAGAGGCGGCUUUCACCCGUCUAAAGUCACCAAUAGGCCGCCUUGACCCUCCUAGGCUCUCCUCGGGUAGCCAUGGGGCCGCCAAGCGGCUGCCUUAACUAACCUUGAUCCGCCUUGACCCGCCAUUGGCCGCCAUGACCCGCCUAAACCCACCUUGGGCCGCCUUAACCCGCCUUGGAUCGCCUUGGACCGCCUUCAACCGCUUUUACCCUCUUAGACCCGCCUAAGGGCCGCCAUCACUCUCCUAGGCCCGUGUAAGGCCGCCUUGACCCGCCUGGGGCUGCCUUAACCCUACAAGGUCGUCCUAGGCUCGCCUAGGGUAGCCAAGUGUCCGCCUUGACCCGCCUUGAGCCGCCUUAACUCGCUUGCGCUGCCUUGACCUGCUUUGCACCGCCUUGACCCUCAUAGGGCCGCCAAUUGGGCGCCUUGACCCAUCUAGGGCCACCAAGGGGUCGCCUUGACCCGGCUAGGGCCGUUUUAACCAGCCUUGGGCUGCCUUGGCCCUACAAGGCCGUCCUAGGCUCGCCUAGGGUAGCCAAGCAGCCGCCUUAACCUGCCUUGGACGGCCUUGACCCGCCUUAACCCGUCUUGGACCGCCUUGACCCUCUUUGACCCCCUUGGGACGCCUUUGACCGCCUUGACCGCCUUACCCGCCUUCAACCGCCUUGACCCUCCUAGACCCACCCAAGGCCGCCUUGACCCUCCUUGGCCCUCCUAGGGCCACCAAAGGGCCGCCAUGACUCGCUAAGGGGUAGCCAUGACCCUCCUAAUCCCAUGUAGGGCUGCCUGGACCCGCCUUGGGCUGUCUUGUCCCUACAAGGCCGUCCUAGGCUUGCCUAGGGUACACAAAUGGCUGCCUUGACCCGCCUUGGGCCGCCUUGGACCGCCUUUACCCGCCUUGCGCCAUUUUGACCCUCAUAGGCCCUCCAAUAUGGCGCCUUGACCCAACUAAGGCCACCAAUGAGUUGCCUUGACCCUGCUAGGGCCGCUAAAGGGCCGCCUUGACCCGCCUUGACACGCCUAGGGCCUUGACCGCCUAGGGCCGCCAUGAAACGCCUUUACCCGCCCUGACCCACCUUGGGCCGCCUUGACCAUCCUAGGGUCGUCAACAUGCCGCAUUGACCCCGCUAUGGCCGCUUUCACCCGUCUAAGGCCGCCAAUGGGCCGCCUUGACCUUUCUAGACCCGCCUAAGGCAGCCUUGACCUGUGUAGGGCCGCCUUGACCCUCCUAGGCUCGCCUUGGGUAGCCAAGGGGCCGCCUUGACCUGCCUAGGGCCGCUAAGCUAAAUGGCUGCCUUGACCAGCCUUGACCCGCCAUGGACCGUCUUGGACCGCAUUAACCCGCCUUAGACUGCCUUAACACGUCUUAACCCGUCUUGACCCGCCUUAGCCUACCUUGAACCGCCUUGACCCGCCUUGCGCCACCUUGACCCUCAUAGGGCCGCCAAUAGGGCGCCUUGACCCAUCUAGGGCCACCAAGUGACCGCUUUGACCCGCCUUAGCCUGCUUUGACCCGCUUUAACCCGCCUUGAGCCGCCUUAACCCUCAUGGGGUCGCCAAUAGGGCGCCUUAACCCGCCUAAGACCGUCUUGACCUGCCUAGGGCCACCAAGCGGCCGCCUUGACCCACCUAGAGUCGCCUUGACUCGCAUUGGUCCUCCUUGACCCUUCUAGGGCCGCCAAAAGGCCGUCUUGACCCGUGUAGGGCCACCAAGGGGCCGCGUUCACCGGUCUAAGUCCACCGAGGGGCCGCCAUGACUCGCCAACGUGUCGCCAUGACCCUCUUAAGCCCAUGUAGGGCCGCCUUGACCAACCUUGGGCCGUCUUGACCCUUAUAGGCUCGCCUAGGGUAGCCAAAGGGCCGCCUUGACCUGCCUACCUGCCUAGGGCCGCCAAGAUGCCACCUUGACCCGUCUAAGGCCACCAAGGGGCACGAGCUGACGACAGCCAUGCACCACCUUUGUCCGCGUGCCUUGACCGGGCCUAGGGCCGCCAAUCGGUCGCCUUGACCCGCCUAGGACCCGUCUUAACCCGCCUCGGGUUGCCUUGACCCUCCUAAGGCCACCAAAANNNNNNNNNNNNNNNNNNNNUGACCCGUGUAGGCCUUGACCCUCGUUGACUUGCCUAGGGCCGCCUUGACCCUCGUAGGUCGUCCUAAGCUCGCCUAGGGCCACCAAGGGGCCGUCAUGACCCUCCUAGGCCCGUCUAUGGCUGCCGUGACCCUCGUAGGCUCGCCUAGGGUAGCUAAGGGGCCGCCUUGACCUGCCUAGGGCCGAGCCGUCGCCUUAACCCGCUUUGGACCACCUUAACCCGCCUUGGUCGCCAUGACCCUCCCAGGCCCGUGUAGGGCCGACCAGAUCCUCCUAGGCCCUCCUAGGCUUUCUUAGGGUAGCCAAAAGUCUGCCUUGACUCGUUUAGGGCCGCCAAGGGGCAGCCUUGACCUGCCUAGGGCCGCUAAGCUGCCGCCUUAACCAGUCUUGGGCCGCCUUUACCCGCCUUGUCCCGGCUUGACCUGCCUAGAGCUGCCAAGCAGCCGCCUAGAGUCGUCUUGACCCGAAUUGGCCCACCUUGACCCACCUUGGGCCGCCAAAAGGCCGGCUUGACCCGUGUAGGGCCAUUAAGGGGCCGCGUUCACCCGUCUAAGGCCACCAAGGGGCCGCCUUGACCCUCUAUGGCUCGCCUAGGGCCACCAAGGGGCCGUCAUGACCCUCCUAAGCACGCGUAGGGCCGCCUUGACCAACCUUGGGCUGCCUUGACCCUCUUAGGGUAGCCAAGGGGCCGUCUUGACCUGCCUAGCCGCCUUGAUCGCUAUGACCCUCCCAGGCCCGUGUAGGGCCACCUUGACCUGUGUAGGGCCGCCUUGACCCUCCUAGGCUCUCCUAGGGCCGCCAAGAGGCCGCCUUGACCCCGCGAGGGCCACCAAGGGGCCGCAUUGACCCCGCUAGGGCCGCCAUGGGGCUGCGUUCACUCAUCUAAGGCCACCAAGGGGUCGCCUUGACCCGCCAAGGGGCUGCCUUGACCCUUAUUGACCCGCCUACGGCCUUGACCCUCCUAGGCCGUCUUAGGCUCGCCUAAGGCCACCAAGGGCCGCCAUGACCCUCCUUGGUCCGUGUAGGGCCGUCGUGACCCGUGUAGGCCCGCCUUGACCCUCCUAGGCUCACCUAGGGUAGCCAAAUGGCCACCUUGACCCGCCUUGACCCGCCUUGGGCCGCCUUAACCCUCCUAGGGCUGCUAAGAGGCCACCUUGAGCCCGCUAGGGCCGCCAAGAGUCCGCCUUGAUCCUCCUAGACCCGCCUAGGGCAGCCUUGACACCCCUUAGUUUGCUUUGACCCUCCUAGGCCCUCAUAGACUCGCCGCGGGUAGCCAAGGGGCUGCCUUGACCUGCCUAGGGCCGCCAAGCGGUCGGCUUAACCCGCCUUGGACCACCUUGACCCGCCUUAACCUGCCUUAACCCGUUUUGGGCGGCCUUGGUCACCAUGACCCUCCCAGGCCCGUCUAGGGUCGCCUUAACCCGUGUAGGGCCGCCUUGACCCUCCUAGGCUCGCUUAGGGUAGCCAAAGGGCCCGCCUAAAACCCGCCUAGGGCUGCCUAAACCCGCCUAAGGCCGCCUAGAUAGGCUUAGGGCCGCCAAGCAGCCGGCUUGACCCACCUUGGACCGCCUUAACCCGCCUUGGGCCGCCUUGGUCACCAUGACCCUCCCAAGCCCAUGUAGGGCCGCCUGGACCGUGUAGGGCCGCCUAGACCUUGUAGGACCGCCUUGACCCUCCUGGGCCCUCCUAGGCUCACUUAGGGUAGCCACUUGACUCGCCUAGGGCCGCCAAGGGGCCGCCUUGACCUGCCUAGGGCCGCCAAGAGACCGCUUUGACCUGUCUAGAGCCGCAAAGUGGCCAUCUUGACCCGUCUAGAGCCGCCUUAACCUGCAUUGGCCCGCCUUGACCCUCCUAGGGCCACCAAGAGGCCGCCUUAACCAGUCUAGAGCCACCAAGGGGCCGCCUUGACCCCGCUAGAGCAGCCAAGAGGCCGCGUUCACCCGUCUAAGGCCACCAAGGGGCCGUAUUGACCCGCCAAGGGGCUGCCUUGACCCUCCUAGGCCGUCAUAGGCUCGCCUAGGGCCACCAAUGGGACGCCAUGACUUGCCCUAACCCUCCUAGGCCCGUGUAGGGCCGCCUUAACCCGUGUAGGGUAGCCUUGACCCGCCUUGACCCUCCUAGGCUCGCCUAGGGUAGCCAAAGGGUCGCCUUGACCCGCCUAGGGCCGCAAAGGGGCAGCCUUGACCUGCAAGUGACCGCCUUAACCCGCCUUGGCCCGCCUUGACCCUCCUAAGGCCGCCUUGACCCAUCUAGGGCCACCAAGAGGCCCCUAGGCGGUCCUAAGCGGCCUUGAGGCAGGUCCAAACGGGUUAAGGCAGCCUAUGUGCGGAUCUGGGUUGCCCUUAUGUUGGUCAAGGUGACCCCAAGUAAGCCCUAGGCGCGUCUCGGCGGCCCCUUAGCGGAUCUAGGCGGACCCUAAGUGGGUCCGAGCGGUCCCUAUGUGGUAUAGGAGGGUCUAGGCGGCCCUUAGGUGGAUAGGAGGCCCCUAAGUGGUAUAGGCGGGUCUAGGCGGCCUUGAAGCGGGUCUAAGCGGGUUAAGGCGGCCUCUAGGUGGGUCUAGGCGGUUCCAAUAAGAAAGUCUAUGCAGGUCAAAGCGGAUCUUGGGUGCCUCGAGGCAUGUCCAAGAAUGUCUAUGCGGGUCAAAGCGGGUCUAGGCGAGUCUAGGUGACCUCUAUGCGGGUCUACGCGGCAUAUGGGCAUUUCUAUUAGUAAUUAAUGAUAAAUAAGUAUUUCUUAAACUAAAAAAACUCGAAAACCUCAAUCGUAUUAGUGUAUACGAUUUUCGUUUGAUUUAUUCAAAAUCACUUACUAUAUUACACGAAUUUUUCCAACAAAAUUGAAUGUUCUUAUUUUUCAACCAAACAUUUCCUAUUAUGAAAUGAUGAUAAAUAAGUACUUCUCAAAUUGACUAAACUAGAAAAUCUCUAUUGGAUUAGUGUAUACGUGUUUUGUUUGAUUUUAGUUAAAAUCGCUUGCUAUAGCACACGAUUUUUCCGUCAAAAUUGAAUAUUAAUAUUUUUCAACCAAACAUUUCCUGUUAUCAAAUAAUGAUAAAUAAGUACUUCUCAAAUUAACAAAACUCGAAAAUCUCAAUCGGAUUAGUAUAUACGAGUUUUGCUUGAUUUCAAUUAAAAUCUUUUCCUAUAACACACGAUUUUUUCGUUAAAAUGAAACUCUGAUUUUUAGCUGUAUGUGACAAGCAAGGAUGAAACAAUGGUUGUAUUUAUAGGCCUAUUUCAGGAUAUGUCCACCAAACACGCGGAAAGCAUGCGGCAACGGGCAAUCAAUCAAAAAUUGCUUAGCUCACAUGAAGAAAUUGUGUGGAUCACACUUGCAAACCAUGCAAGUUGGAAAAUAAAAGAGAUGGAAUCAAUCAGCAUUUAUGAAUUUCUGAAUUUGGCUUUACAAAUUUUUUAACUUGAGUUGUAGACAACAGAGGUUUGAGCUCUAACGAGAGCUAUAACAAGUGACCAAGCACUGAAUAUCACUAUUCAUCUCUAUCCCUGCAGACAAUACUUGUAAACACAGGAAAGCAUUUAAAGUAGUCUUCAUCAUAGUGAAGCAUACAAUGCAGAAGAUGAAUAUUUUCUAGUUUUUACCAAAGAAAAAACAAUACUUUCCGCCUUUCCGGUUGUCAUGUAUUCUUCAAAAUGCCCUCUAUAAUCCCAUCAGUCUUAGAAGAGAGGAAAACAUGUAUAGCAUAGCAGGGAGGGAACUGAUAUGCUCUAAGUAAUUGGAAGCCCUUCUAGUGAGGACCCUUAAGUUGAGGACUUAGUGAGGAGUUUCGGCUUAUCCCAUCUUUCGAGCUUAUAUCCACAUCUUGACCGUUCAGUUUAUAGGUAUUUAUGAGUAGAUCAUUUCAUCAAAUUUUCAGCUAUAUUGAAAAUUGUUAAGGCAUUCAUAAGUGUGAUUUAUCAAUUAUGAACUUGAACGGUUCAUAUUUGAUAGAUUUGGUUCGUCCAUUAAUUUGAUCUACUUUGUUAUCUAAAUGAACACAAAUUUGGGUGAAAAUUUGUAGAAAUGAUCUACUCAUAUAAACCUAAAAACUGAACGGAUGAGAUGUCAAAAUAUGAUAGAAAAUUGGGUCUUUUAAACCAUAAACCGAAAAGUCCUCACCAAAUCCUCAACUUAAGGGGCCUCACUAGAAGGGCUCCCCUAAGUAAUUAUGCAGAGAGAGGAGCUAGAGUGCACCAAAGACAUAUAUAAGAAACAUGGCAGACCACCAAAAACAAUGUCCUCAAUGAGCUUAACAUCAUUCCUGCAGUUGUUGGAAAAUAUAAAUAUAGUGACUCUGAACUAAAUCUACACGUUACAGACAUCCUAGAAAGAGAAAAAACUAAUUGAAAAGAUGAACAAAUUAAACGUACCUGUAAUCCCUCUUCAAUCUCAGAGUUGGGAUCGUCUUGGUGUUUGAUAAAAUCGUCUGAAAAGCUUCUCGUUAGUCUCCGAAUAUCAGAGGGAUUCACUUGCUAGAAAAUAGUCACCACUAUCUGCUUCUUCCCAUCCAUGCAAUGCAAAAUUUUGACUAGUUCUUUUAAGCACCACAACCAAAUGUCUCGACUCUUGAGUCUCAUUGAGGAUCUCCUAAAUGUCAUUGCCUAGUAUGAGCUCUGUUGAGUCUAUGAAAGCGUCAAUUGCUUUCUGUUUCAAAGCUUUGUAAAGAUGGCUGACAAAAAACUUGCGUUUUUCCUCGGCCCUAGAGUUCAGAAAGACAUCAUGUUUCCAGGGAUGGCCUGGCAAUGGAAAAGAUGAAGCCAUCCAACGACAAGCACUACUGUAAUACCAGGGGAAACUAAAUGAAGAAACUUUGGAUUACUCAAGGUAAUUCUUCCUGGUUGACAAUCCUUGACUGCAGGCCAAGCAAGAAUGUCGACAGACCUUUGGCAAAGAGUACGUGUUCAACUGACAAUUCAAAAUGGCCCAUAUGAUGAUCACCAUUAUCAGAGCAAUGAGCAUCCGUUGACCUCCAUUAGACUCUUCCGCAAUAGUAUUACACCUCGUGGCAACUUUUGUUGCCUUCUCUUUUCCCACAGUGAAACCAGCGUAUGGAGUCUUCUGAGUUCUGAGUAAUGAGUAACUGUGAGUUAGGAUACAAAUUUGCCGACCAUCUUUAUUUGUCCACCAAAUGAGUUAAGCCAACACUCAUGUAAUAUUUGACCAAACCCUCUUCUUCUUUCUGUAAUCUUAUAUGACGUAGAUUACAGUGAGUUUUGAUGUAAUAAUUGUAAUCUUUACCAUUCACAGAGUUAACAAAAGCCAUCAAGUUAAAAGGAAAAUGGUAGAGGGUAUAGAUGAAAGAACAGUAAGAUAACAAACCAACAACAGUCAAACAAACAAACAAAAGCAAAACACAGAAAGCCCACUUUUCAAAAGAUUUAAACAAAUAAAGACAAAAGUCCAGACUCAAGAUUAAUAGUACCACAUGUUCACUACAAUAUUCAUUGUAAAAUGACCAAAAUGUCCAAUUUACAAACAGAAUUACACACGUUGCGACCUUUCUCUUUCCCUUAAAGAUUCAAUCUGACCUCUCUCUCUCUCUCUCUCUCUCUCUCUCUCUCUCUCUCUCUCUCUCUCUCUCUCUCUCUCUCUCUCUCUCUCAUCUAAAACCGUCAUCGUCGCGUCACGGGGGCUCCGGUGGGUAGGUCGAUGACUCAGCACGAUUUUCACAUAACCAACGGUAAUAAAAACACUACCCAAUCUCUCAUCCACUAGUUUCAGAUUUUCAAAAAAACCCACAUCAUAUUCAUCUGCAACUGCAAAUUGAAUGAGAAACCCAGGUUAAACACUGAAAAGACUGCAAUAGCAGCAAGAUCUAACCAUCAUGACAACAGUAGCAGCAAGAUCUGACCGUCAUGAGAGCAGUAGCAGCAAGCUCUGACAAUAUACAGUAGCAGCAAGAUCUGACAAUAUACAAUAGCAGCAAGAUUUGACCAUAUACAGCGACAGGAAGAUCUAACCGUCACAGUAGCAGCAAGACUUGACCAUAUACAGUAGCAGUAAGACCUAACAAUAUACAGUAGCAGCAAGAUUUGACCGUAAUGACAAUAUAUAGUAGCACCAAGACAUAACCAUACACAGUAGCAGCAAUGUCAGACUGUCAUGACAAUAUACAGUAGCAGCAAGACCUGAACAUAGGUCUCGGCAGAACUAGAGGAUUGCCGAAGCAUACUUGUGAUACUACUAGGAUGUUAUCCCCUGUUACUACUUCUACUAGGAUGUUAACCCCUGCUGCUACUUCUACUGGAAUUAACUGUUAUUACACUAAGUUAUUGAAAACCUGCUACUACUGUAUUCCAUUUAUUGAAAAAUCUCAAAAUGAGAGACUUUUCUAAAAACAUAUUUAAUUAGUAUAGGGUUAGUUUGGUAAAUUAAACCAUGACACAUGACAUGUAAAGAAAAGAUUGUUAAAAACUGUCCUUAUUUGUUUAACAACACAAGUGGAUUUAUUUGUGUUUCAAAUUCUUUUGGAUGAUAUAUAUAUGAUUUGCUAUAAGAAAGAAUGGAAAAAGGGUUACAUUAGAAACUUAUUUGAGACCAAUCCACACAGUUGUGAUCUCAACUAAAGUCAUGAGGGGAAUCACCAAAUGUGAUCUGCAACUUGAUCAACAUAAAUUUUCCACAAGAAAAGGAGGGCAAAAAGACAUCAAAGCUUAAUAACACAAGUCAUCAACAACCGAAAUAUUGAAAGAAUAGUUAACUCCAUUACAACAGGUUGAAAAACUCCGAUAAAAACUAGCUAGAACAGGGAAAAUGAUAUCUACGCUAGCGAUAACCAUUUUCUUUUAAACUAAACGAGAGACAACAUAUCAGUUCAAAGACUGUAUUGUCAAUUUGUCUGCAACUUGUUAACAAGUUGCAUUAUAAUUACAAAACCAGAGUAUCCCUUAAAACAUUGAUUUCUCGGCUUUCAGUCACAAGCCGGGUAAAUUAAAGAUAGGAAGCAUAAGUAACUUACACUUCCUUCACAUCCAUGCUGCAGCCACUAAUGAUCAGAUGGUGAUUGCUGCUGCUGCUGUUGCUGCUGAUCUGGUGCCUGCGACCACAUUUGAGGACCCAUGUAGGGGUGAGACUGUUGCCCAUACAUAGAUGGGUCCAUCAUAGGCUUGCCCAUGAUCAUCCCAGGAGCCCCAACCUGAGGUCCAUGCUGAGGUGGCAUAUAGCAGUAUGGAGGAAGUGCAUCAGCAGCCCCAACAGAAACCGUUCCCCUUGGAAUGGAUGCAAGGACUUCGUCUUUCAGAUCCUCUCUCGGCACGAUGUCUACCAAGAAAUCAAAUAUAUCAGUCCUUGUGAUUGCAGCUGCAAUGUCAUUCUUCUGAAGUGUCCUCCUUUUAUUCUCUUCUGUGUGAUUCCAAGACCGCAAGGUCAACUCCAAGAUGAACAUUUCACAUGCCCUUGCAAAGAUCACAGGUGCCUCAGCUGAUAUCAUUCUCACAUCCUCGUCAGCUUUCAUGAUCUUCUUGAUCCUUGCUAGAGGAAGGCUAUGGUUCUUGAAAUCAGUUACCUUCUCAAUCUCUUGAAACUGACCCGCCCAAAAAUUUUGCAAUUGUUGUUGAAGUUGUUGCUGCUGCUGCUGGUGAAUGUGCUGAUAAGCAAGCUGAUGUUGUGCAAGCUGAGCUCCGGCAGAUUGAUUACUAGCUUGAAUGCCUCCAACUGGUGCACCAACUGUUGCAGGAUUCGGACUCCCUACCAUUUGAGUAUGCUGAUACGGAGCAGUCCCAUAUGCCAUUUGAGCUCCACUACCUACCAUCCCCAUCGAUUGGGGUUGCCCAUGUCCUUGCUGAUCCAUCCAGUUCCUGAUUGAAGUAAAUAACAAGAAAGAUAUGCUUUAGAAACCUACUAAUACUCCUCAAAAAUCAAAGGAUCUCCUUUUUACACAAAUACAUAAAUAACAGUAAGAGCUUGUAGCCAAAAGCAGGGUUCAGAUCCCUCUUAUGACCAAAACCAAACAAAAUCAAAUAUGAACAUUCAUUUUGAAUUACUUCUUGUUCAUUCUUUGUUCUUUUUCUUCUUUAGAUGAUCAAAGAACAGUGAUUUACAAAAAUAUCACAUCUGAUGCAUCAAAUAGACAAGUGUUGGGCAGAGUAGGCAGACUCUUCCGGCAGCCAAACUCAUCAAUUCAUUAAACUUAUCUAAAUGCUAUCUCUUAUAACCAAACAUCUUCAGCAAACCAACUAGAUUUACAUCCCAUCAUCCUGUCAUAUAGGACUAAAAUCUGCCUAACAAAACAAAAUACUUUUUGCUCUACUGUAAAAAUUACUCCACCACCCAGAAACAUCUAAACCCGCAAAGGAUGGAAAGCAAGCUGAAACAGUAAAACACACAAAAAAGGGUCCUAUGUUCAAUAUCAAAACCACUGAUGUACAAUCAUGCAAAACAGAAUCAAACCCGCUAGCAAAACCAGAAUUUGAUCUUACAUAUUACAAAUAUCCAGAACCAAAAUGUUACAUAGAAACAAACCAAAGAUCACCCAUUUAGCAAAUCCAAAACACACAAAAACAUAUAAGAACAGAGAUAUAUACCAACUGUGUAAAUUUUGGGUACCUUGUUCACAAAACAGAUGAUGCUGCUACGUAAAUCGAUUUAGCACCUGAAAAAAGAAACAAAAUUCUCUCAGAAACCAAAAAAAAGACUUCAAAGAAAUAUUCUCCUGGGCAUCAAAAAGACUGAAACUUUCAUUGUUUUUUAUUCUAUUCUGGGAAAUUUUCGGUGAAGAAAAAGAUCCAAUCUUUUGCAGAAUUUUGGGUCUGCAACACAAACCUGGGUCUCUUUUGUUCUUGUGUUUCUCGUAAUGAUUAAUGUUGGCAAAUACAAACCUAAAAGGAGCAACAAAACUGCGACGACACAGUUCGAUUCUGACUCUUAACAUGUCAGAUGCUUCGACUUUUAUGGAACGAGAGUUUUUCGUUCUGACGGUUUUGCCCUUCGUGGAAAUUGACAUUUGCCGGUUUGGGGUUGCACAGAUUCGUUGCCUAGGGUUUUUCUAAAAAUGUCUGAUUAGACCCGACUCGGGAAUAGAUGCACACUCCUAGUAGGGUAGGAGAAUCCUCUCUUUUGGCGGGGUGAUCAUCUCACUUUGCACGUCCGACUCAAUAAUAUCAUAUGCAACUAUGCAAGCGAGAAGUUUCUGAGACUAAUAUCUAAAAAUAUUUUAUCGAAAUUUCUAGUUUUUAUAAUUACUGAUAUUAAUUUUUAUAUAUUUUUGAUAUUUUAUAUUUAGUCUAUUUAUUGUCGAAUAUAUAACUUUUAGAUAAAAUUUGGUAAAAUUUUCAUCGAUAUUCAAUAUUAUCUCGAUAUAUCUAAGGAUGGCAAUGGGUAGGGUAGGGUAUGGGGAUCAAAAUACCGUACCCAUACCUUUUUACAUUUCUCAUCCUCGUACCCGUCCCCGUACCUGUAAUUAGAUAAUGGGGAUUCCCCAUACCCGUACCCUUUGGGGAUUACGUUUCCAUACCCGUACCCGUUAACAAUUAUGUAUUAAAUUAAUUUUUUUUUUAAAUACGAAAUACAAUUAUAUAAAAGUAUGAAAUUAAAAUCAAAUACCAAAAUAAAUAAAUUUUAUGCUUCAAUCCAAUAAAAAUAAAUACAAGUCUUGGUUAAAACAGAACAAUACCAGUAAAUUUCAUUAACAGAAUAAAAAUAUAUAAUAAAAAUGAAGGUCCAUUAAAUGUUUAUUAAGAGAAUCACAAAAUUUUUUUCAUAAAUAUUUAUUUAUAAAUUAUAUAUAAAUAUAUAUAAUAAAUUAUGUAAUUAUAUAUAAUAAUGUUUUCAUCUUUAAUGGGUGGGGAUGGGGACGAAUAUCAAAAUACCAUACCCACUCUGUACCCGAUUUAAGAAUCCGAAUACUAAGGAUUCUCAUCCCCGUUACCCGUUUAUACCCGUAUAUCUUCCUCGUUAGGUCGAAUACCCGUGGGUACCUUACCCGCUGGGGAUUAUUGUCAUCCUUAGAUAUAUCCAUCGAGAUUUCCUUUUUUCGAACUAUCGAAAUUUUCAUAAUCGUCGAUAUUUUACUCCUUGUCUGAGACUGUUUUGGAUAUUUUACAUGUAAUUGGGAAUGUCCGGAGUGUUAUGUGUAAAUUAUAAAAAUUAUGACCGGUAGAUAAGAUGAAAUCGGUGACACGAUCACAUUUAUUAUAAGUUUGACGUAGCUUAGACGAAAUCGGUGCCACAAUUCCUGCAUUUAUUAUAGAGUUGUCGUCGUUUUACUGAACUAAUUUGAUGAAACUCAAAGAUGAGAAUUCAAAUGAGUAUGGUGGUCCAAAUCCGUUUUGGUUUGAUACUUCUGUAAUUAAAACCGAAAGAUCUUUUAAACAAUUAAUGAUCAAUAACGAUUCAAAAUAACGUAAACUACCGUACCGUUACUAAGACAUACUAAUAUUUAGUGAAAUAAUCAAUCACCAUGAGUCACUUCCUUCCUCCCCACGGGAAAAUCCCAUCUUAAAAGAAAAGUGUGGUAUAAUUCAUGACUACAAACUAAUGAAGUACAUAAUCAAAAGUAUGAAUCAUGAAGAUUGGUUCCAUGAAACAAAAAGUCCACACUCCACAUUAUUGAUCUAAGGAAAUCCAAGCCAGUUCAGAACUUCAAUUAGUUUUUUCUUGGUGAACUUUAGGUUAAAUUUGAGCAUUACCCUCACGGACCACCACACAGUUCAUACACCAUCCCCCAAACAGAGAAAUAAACCUACAUAUGGACCACUUCAGUUUUCAUUGAAACAACAUCAAAUCCCAGCUUUCAUCUCCCACUUCAUUCACAUUCUAAUCAGCCAAGUCCCAACUUUGAUAUACCUUAAGAUGUAAGGGAGAUCUGUAAUGUUUGCUAGAAUAAAGAACAAAACAUUGACAUCUGGUGGCCAACUGCCACUGCCAUUUGGUAAUGUUACAAGUAGCACAAGAGCCAAGGGUAUUGCCAGUUUGCCACUACCCAAAGCAUAUAUGCCCAGUAAAUAUUUUCCAAUCACAGAAUUUGGGUCAAACAAUGAUUCCAAUUCCAAUCACAUAGUAAUUCUAGUCUAAAAAAAUUCACCUACUCAAUGUUGAAACAAUUCAAUUUCUACCUAUAAGGGUGGCCAAUAACUUGCACCAUGAUUGUUUCUUUCUUGAACUGUAAAUGAGUGAUGCUUGUAUUGUAUAUGCACAAUCCAUGUCAGAGUUAGCAUGAUCCCCAAGCUGAUAUAGGAUACAGAAGCUCCAGAACAUCCCUGGUUGCUUGGAUUUUGUGGAUGAUAAACCCACUUGUAUUAGGUUAUAAAUCACCCCGAAAACUUGGCAAUCAGUAAGCUGACUGCCAUGAAAACGACAUAGAGUCCAACAAGACAGAAACCCCAGAACCUAGGCACCCGGAAUCUGCACCAUGUGAUCACCAAUAGAGAACCCAUCAAGCUCAAAAGCAGGAACACAAAUGCAAUCACAAUACCCACAUGGAACUGGAGCUCAUACGCUUCCGGAUAAACAUUAGAGGUCUGUAUCACCAAUGCUGAUCCAAGGCCAACAAGCAUGUUAAACAUUGGCCCGGCAAAGCACCCUGCCAUGGCCAUUGCAGGGUGGCCUGCCUUGGCAACUGCCACAUCAGCAACAAGAUCCCCCACAGAAUUUCCCCAGGCAAGAACCGUAAGCCCAAGAAGUGCUGGUGGCAACUCCAGAAGUGCUCCAAGUGCAGCAAGGCAGUUCAACAAUUCUCCAGCAGUAGUGGAUAUCCAAACGACACUCAUAACAAAUGCUAUAAGCAAUACAGGAAUUUGCUCGGUUUUGGGGGGCUCUUUCUCUAUUAUAUAAUGAAGAAGUGCAAGAGAGGAGCUUGCCAAGAAUACAACAAACCAUAGUGGAAGAUGGGUGUUGGAAAGGAGAAAAGCUACGGGAUGACUGAAUUCCAUGAACGCGUUGCAAGAGUAUAGAAGCGCUAGAGGGCACAGAGCAAUAUUGGCUGAUGUGUAGAAUCUACUCCACUCCGAUGGGGCAGCUUGUGGAAUGGUCAGCUUCAGAAGAACUGAGACUGGAACCUCCCAUACUUUUGAGACCUAUAUAUGAAAUAGAGAAAGGAUUAGUAGUGCAAUUUCCAGAAGAUAGAUACCGAAAACAAUUGUAUAUGCAAAAGAGAGCUAAAUAGUACAAUUUUCAGAAGAAGAAAGACACUGAAUAAUGCUCUUUUUCUGUACCAGCUAUGUAAUAGAUAUUGCAUAGCGGCAGUACAAAGUUUCAUGCUUUAUCCCAAUUCAGGAAGAUCAGAAGAGAUUUCAUAAUGAUAUAUGCAGUUUAUCCACAUAGUCAUCAGGAAACUCAUCCACUACAUGCUUUCACUACAUGAUUUAUCCCAAUUCAGGAAGAUCAGAAGAGAUUUCAUAAUAAUAUAUGCAGUUUAUCCAUAUAGUCAUCAGGAAACUCUUCCAUUAUAUUCUUCUACAGCUAGUAUCAGAAGUCAGGAGAUUUUACAGAUUCAAAUAUUGAAACUUUCAAGUAUCUCUUGUUCAGGUUAUCCUUACAAUAAGUAUAAAAUUUUAUACUUUCCCGCAUCAGAAUUCAAUUUUUAUACUUUCCCACAUCAGAAUUCAUUACCUAACUCAACUCUCUACUUUCUCCACUGCCUCACACCUCAAUGUCCAUUUCAUAUCUCCAAAGUUUCACUAGUUCAGAGGCUUAAAGAGCUUCUCACCAUGAUUUCCUUUUUUCAUUUCUUGGAAUAAGGCAAAGCAGAUUUCAUGAUCGCUAUGAGAAUGAGAUAAAGUAAAGCAAAGAGAACUAUGCCCACAUAUGUUAUUCGGUAGAAAAAAAUGUCUUGCAUAUCAUUCAUCUAAAGUCUAAAGUAGUGAGCAAGUAAUCCCACACUUAUUUGAAACCUAUUCCAUGGUGCAAAAACACAAAAUACUCAUCUUCAGGACUCUAGGCACUUUAUUUAUGCAAAGAUGUUCAAUCCCUAUGUGCAACCACAAGAAAACAGGUACUGGAGCUCAAAAGCGAAACUAGCAAGAACAAUAAAAUUCACAGCUAGCUGAGCUAAUUAGUUCUAGAGCAUCAGUUAUCAUCAAACAAAACCACAUUUUCAUCCCCGAUCAACCAGUUCUACAGCACUAAUCACUGCCAAACUUACUCUGAUCUAAUCCCACCACCAAAACCUACUAAACUAACACCACUACAUUAGUACAAUACUACAUUGUUCAAAACACGCAUCACAAUUUGUCCAAUUCACAAGUCGAAAAACACAAAUUUAACUGAAAACAUACCAUUUCCAUUACCCGCCGGACCCCGAAACUCGGGUUCUCCAUUUCCUCCGAUCUCUUCUCAACUCCUCCGAUCUCGCAGUCCACCGCAACAAACCCCUUCUGCAUUUCACUCUCCGCCACCUCACUCCGGCCCCUCUUCUCUCCUCCUCCUCCGCCGCCGCCCAACCCCAAGUCCAUCCAGAACACAAACCCCACAAAGAACAAGUAGAACCCAACAAACCCCACCGCCUGCCACAAGUAAAUCUCGGCGCUCAGGUACACGUAGAACAAGAACGUCGCCGAGAUCAGGUAAAACAUGACGUCACGGACGAACGUGGCGGGGCUGAGGGAGAAGGGCGCGGCGUAGAUCGCGACGAAACCGACGACGAAAGCGGAGACGAAGGCGCCGGCGGAGAGGAUGGCGCCGAAGCCGGUGCGGUAGUUGCCGCGGCGGACGGCGGCGAGGGAGGCGAAGACGUCGGGGGCGCCGUUGCCGAGGGCGAGGAGGGUGACGGCGGCCAUGGAGGGGGUGAGGUUGAGGGCGGAGGUGAGCUUGGUGGUGACGAGGGAGAAGUGGUCCUGGGCGGUUUUGAUGAGGAGGUAGAAGAGGAGGAGGAGGAUGAGGAGGAGGGAAGGGAGGGAGAGGUUAGGGUUUUGGUAGUUGAAGAGGCCAUUGGAGGAGGAGGAAGAAGGGGUGGUUGGGAGGAGGGACCUGUGAGGGAUUAGGGGAGAAGGGGAGGGGUAGUUUGGGGAAUGGGGAGUUGGGAGGAGGAGGAAGAAGAGGAAGGAGGAGAGGAGUGUGAGGGAGAGAGUGAAGGAUUUGAAGGUGGAGGAGAGGUUGGCCAUGCCAUUAGCUAAAGGAGAGUGACUACUGUAUUGCUCUCUCUCUUGCUCUAUAGUCUGAGCCUUUGGAGUUUUGACCAAGUAAGUCUAUUUUCAGGGUUUUUUUUUAAGAAAAAAUAAUAAUAAUUCUGUUUUGGAUGCAACUGGUCAACCAGUGUUUGUAUUGUACUUCAGGUAGAAAUAGAAUGGGGAAUGAAAGUAUGAACUUUGUUGGCACCCCAACAUCCCCAGAGUGAAGGCAUAGGAUUCUGGAAGCCUCCCACACCAUGACUAUCUUCAUAUGCAUUGCUAUAUUUGUCUUGAAGUUAGAUGUAGUUUAAUCCAAUCUGGUUCAUAUAAAAGAAGACUUAUUAGCUUCUUAAUACAUCAUGUUCAUACAAGUGAGGUUGAUGAGAGGCUACCUGGAAGCAUGUUUGUAUAUGGCAAGCAAGGUUGAUAUGCUCACAGCAUGUAAAUGAGGUACGAGGGGGCUAACGAUGCUUGUGAAAAGAGAGGCUAGAUAUGGCUCGUAUAUAAGAUCUUGUAUGAUUUUGGAUCUAAUCCUAGGGGAACAAACCUCAUUUCUAUAGAGCAUCCAGUACCGAGAGCUCAAUACUCGCAGUUUUCAUCAGUUUUCGCUACAUUAUCCUGCGGGGUUACAAAGAUCCUCCGGGUGGUGAUUGUGAUCUAGGAGAGACAGUGUUAUAUAUAUACAAGGGAGCUCGAGGGUACCCUUCAAGGUAAAAGAACAAUAGUGCCCUUAAUACACCUUUCAUGAAAUUGUUCAUUGGGGCUCCCUAGCUACAGUACUGAAAAUUAUGAGAUUCCCUCCUAUACAUCUCAAAUAAUUGAUCCAUACAUAAGCUAGAAAAACUUGCACUUAUUGGUUAUCAUGGCUGUCACCAUUGUCUUGUCCUAUGACAGUAAAAGGGAGCUGAGUCCGUGACAAUACCAAGGACGCUUUAAACCUCCUCACAAUUUUUACUGCAGAAUCCCACAUGCCCUCAGCUUUACUUUCCUUCAGAAUCAUCACAAAAACAUAAUGCAAGGCAGCGGCCAAAAUGCACAUCGCUCAUGCAGUGAGAAACUCUUAGGAUUCAGUACAUCUCAUAGUUGAAUAAAAUUCUAAAUAUUCUCUUGAGACCCCCGCAUCACCAUUCCUCUAACAGUCAUCUUCAUCCAUCCUAUUAAGAGACUUAACCACCCAUGAUUGAUCAAUCAUCUGCUUUAUUUGCAGAGUUAAGUGCAACUGUCUUUUAAUUUGGUCUUAACUUAUCCUGCGAGGUUACAAAGAUCCUCCCCAUACCAAUUAUGUAAAGCUGCUUAAGAAAACUGAAAGUUUUAUCGAUUCCUGACAUCCUUAAUAGAUCUUAAUUUCCUGGAAUAGUUUCAUUCUUUACGUUUUGCCUGUAAAUUUAGAUCACAGCUGAGCGAUUUACAUGUAUGUGGAUAUCAAAAUAGAAAAUGAAUGGAUUCUACUAUCACUGAUAUAUUGCAUAUUUGCAUACACACAACUUUGGAUGUGAAUCUAAGAGUUGAUUCUUCAUGAUUAUUAUCAACAGCUAAAUGUUAUAAUUAACAUACAACUUCAAGAUUUGUUGAUAGCUUGACUAAAUUAACCCCUUCACCGUCAUGUAUAUCCCCUUAUAAUUGUUUAUUGAAGUUGAAAACAUCAUCUAUACCUCAAAUAGCCUUAAGCUGCUUACAUAUUGUUAGGUUGCUUACAUAGGAAACUUGCAACUUGGCCUAGGUACAUGCGAGUACUUGUACUCUGAAAGCUAAUACAGUCAAUUUUCUGAUCUAUAUUCAGUGUCGUAGAAGCAUUUUGUAUAUCCAUUACUCUGAAGUAUUCACUAAACAUACAUUAUGUCUUUUACAAAGGAAAAAAAUUAAUAAUUGAACUCUGCAUCCUCUGCAUGCAUGUAUAUGAAAACUGUUAAUCACUCUCAGGCACCCCUACGAAGAAGUUGCGAAAAAGUUUAUCAUUGGCGUUGAAUUCCAUCAGCAAUUCAUCCAAGUCAGGGAUUGGACCAGGGAUGUCGUAAAGAACCUUUACGUGAUCUUCAUUUGCUGAGCUUUUUACCAAGUUUUUUCUGGUAUAGCUUCUUUUUUUCCUUACAAUUCGCAUGUCCUCUACCAUCAUAGCAUCACUGUUUCUUUUUGUCUGUCCUUGAAGAGUCUCUUCUCUUGUUGAAGAAGCAGAAGAAGAAGAAGACGUUUUCUCCAAUACCUGAACCUCAUCUACUUCAGACUUUGAUCUUCCAUCAGGUACUGCUAGAUUUUCCUUUUCAGUAAAAGGCUCAGAAGUUGUGGCAUCUGUAUCAGAGAUAGGAACCGCCUCUUCUCGCCUCUUGUUCUUCCUUUCAAGUAAGAGCUCUUGUUCUCCUUUCCUUUUUGUCCUUUUGUUUUCAAGGACUUGUGCUGCUCUUGCUUCUUGUUUUUCUUUCUUUGCAUUUUUUCUUUCUUUUCCUAAGAGUGCUUGGCUUUCUUCUUGUUUUCUCUUUCUUUUAUUCUUUUCUAGGUCUUCUGCUGCUUCUUGCUUUUCAUUCUGCUUCUUCUUCUUCUUUUCGUUUUCCGAAAUUAACAGUGCUGCUGCCUUCUGUUCUUUCUGCAUCUUCCUCUUUUCGAGUAAGACUGCUAAGGUUUCUUCGUCUUCUCUCUUUCUUUUGUUCUUCUUUUUAAGUAACACUGCUAGUCUUUCUUCUUCUUCUAGUGAGAGUGCUAGGGUUUCUUGAUCUCUCUUUCUUUUCUUUAUUUCACAUUCUUUCGCAGUAUCUACAGCUUCUUCUUGCUCACUGUUCUUAUUCCUCUUUAUCAUACUCUCUUCAUCAAGCUGAUCUUCUGUUGUCACUUCGCGUUCUCUCUUUCUUGUAUCCUCUUUUUCAUGUUCUUGUUGUCUCUGUCUUUUCUGGCCCUUUGUGGUAUCAGCGCUGUUUUUCCUCUUCAAAGCUUUGAGAGCAAGCACAACUGGUUUCAGAUUGUCUGAUGUUUCUCGCCUUGAACUAUAACUCUCCAUCUCUAGACGUUUAAUCUAUUAACUCACUACCUGAGACUAACAAAACAUUCUGACUUAUAUAAGUAUUAGGACCUGGAAAACCAAUUUGUACUAGGAAUAUAUAAAACGCAUACUCUGAUCUAUUAGGAUUAGGAAACCAAUUUGUGCUAGGAAGAUAUAACCUCAAGAUUACUCGUAAGGUAGUCUCCUAAUCAAUAAUGGAAAGUUGAAAUCUUUCCUCUCCUAAACAUAAAUUCAACAGGUACUUGAAGCGUGCGGGCCAAGUCUCAAGACAUUAGACAUUAGAGAAUUCACCAACAUACUACUAAAGAUUUUCCAGUUUAUGAAGAUUCGAUAUCUUCCUUGUCUUGUUUCAAUAUAUAUAGAAUCAGCAAAAAGAAAAAGAAAAUUUCUCAUUCGAAACGAAAAAUCGAAAAAGAAUCAAACACUGUAUUUUGACGGAUUCAAUUCACUAGCCAAGGAUUGGAAAAUCUGUGAAAAUGGAAGGAAUUGGGAACUUGGUAGGAAAGGGAUGCAAAUGAUUUUAGGGUCUAGGCGAGUUGGUUUGACCAGAGAAAUGAAAUUUGAUCAAAGAAAUAAAAGCAAUCCCGUUUCGCUGUUCUGAGUGUUGUCAAUUGUUGUGGUGUACUGGUGAUGGUUUAGUUUUGCACUGAGUUGAGCUUGUGUAAAGGAGCUAUGGUUCACCCAAUUAAGCAGACCCCAUUCAGGUGAGGAGAAACUUUAUCGUUCCAACUAGGUGUUCGGUGGUUAUGGAACUUUUACCUUUUUUGCAAACUCUUGCCAUACACUUGUGAAGAUCAGUAAUAACGGUUCUACCAUCUGGAAAUCCAGUUAUAUCUUCACUCAACCAAACAAAAGGAUAUAUCAAAAAUGAAAAAAUACAAGGAAACAAGUUUGAAGAGAAGCAAUAAACAGCUAGCUACGAAGCUUAAAAGAAAAGAUCUCUCAUAAUUAGCAACAUGUUCAGUGAAUCCAAAAGUACAAGAAAUUUCCCUCUCUUUUUUUCGUUUUCUUAGUAAACUCUUCCCUGUUUCUAAGUCUAUAAUAUCAAAUGACCUUUUUUAUAUCCCCUUGUUAAAGAGGCUAAAGCUACAUAAACAACAAGUUACACAGGACACCCUCAUCUAUAUUCUUGUGGCAAGCGAUAUCCAGGCAUUGUUAUCUUGUCAGCAAACAUUUUACCCGUCUUGGGCAUGACAUGCCAGUGCAAUGUGAAGUUGAAUUCUUUACCUCGGAGAUUGUUUCCCUGCACAAGAAACAAAACUAUGAACAAACUUCGAUUUACCAAGAAACUGCAUUGGAAAGCUUAGCAACAAAUGCGAGGGAUGAAAAGAGCUGGUUCACGAAGAUACAAUACCUGAUCAACAAAACGGUAUUUGUUUGAAGUAUGAAUUGAAAACUUGGCAUGCUCUUUGGAAGGUAUGAUACCAUCCCAAAGAGAGAUCUGUAAAAUAGCGAUACAAUUUAAGCAAGACUUCAAUUUAAAGAAAUUGGAAUAUAAUAUAAAGAUAACAGAGCCUACAAGAAAUUAAAGGAUAUAGUGAAUAUGUGUAUCUAAGGAAUGCCCAAAAAGAUCAAAACAAAUGGAAAAAAGAUAACUCAAAAGCACAUGUGCAUAGCUAUAUCCAUAGCUUACCUGAUUCAAUGCAUUCUUUGCGGUUUCAUACUCAGCAGCUAGAAAAACAAAAACCUAUUGCAAGACAGCAAGAAUGGGAUCAGAUUCAGAUUUAUGUGACAUGGCUACAUGACAUAAACUGGCUGCAAAAUGAGAAAUUGCAUUGGCCUUAUUGUUAGUUCACAAACUUCAAUUACACAAGACACUUUAAUAACAAUGCAGCAAAGCACAGGAUAACAAAGACAGUUUCUCAAUAGAAAUGAAACUAGUUACUUUAAUCUUGUUCUCCUAGUCUUCAGACCAUGAUUAUCACCGAUUCCCUCACGGUUCUUGGAAACUAUAUAUUACUUAAAGCAAAUGCAUUAAACAAUAACAACAGAAUCCAGCUAACAUUGACUCCCAUGGUGCAUUCUUGAAAACCACUUAUGUACCCAAGGCUACUUGUAAACAAUGUAGGUGGAAAAACAGAAAGCUUCUUGGUAGAAAUGAAAGUAGUUACUGGACUCUUGUUUUUCUACCAUGAUAGUUACUAUAACUCUUCAGACAAUGAUUAUCACCGAAUCCCUCAUAAUGUAUUCAUAAAAACCCACCUACCCGAUGAAAACAUACAUAUUAAACAGUUUAGGUUACAUUGAAAUUUAGCUAGCCUACACAGAGAGAUCAAAUUACCAACCUGCUUCGUGUUCCAUGUAAACAAUGACUGCAAGUCUGCUGAUAUAUUCAGUGUCAUGCUGACCUGCAUAAAGUGAAAACAUUAUUUCAUAUCAAAAUUCUGGCUUCUUCCAUACAUACAAUUUCAAAUCUAAAUCAGCUAUCUACCAAGGCCUUCAUAAGUCAACAAAGGAAAUCUAAAAGUCGAUAAUCCUAAGAGUGCAGAUGAGACAAGAGUUCAUGAAACUCUGCAGUUGUACUACUCCAAACCGUUACUUCUUUCUAAUAUCGACCUCUACUGAAUACCUUUUUAUAUUAUUUUACCUAUUUUUCUAAUAGCAACUAACUCUGAGUGAAAUUGUGAUUUCAGAUUAUGUUCUGGUAGUCAUGUAACUAUCUGUGGGUGCUCAACUAUUGCACCAAAUUUCCAAAUCCUGCACUCCAGCAACAUGAAGCUUCAAUAAAUAAUCGAACAAAAUAAAAACCCAAUACCUUUAAGAUUAUAUCCAACCCCGGGUAAGGACACUAUUAGGAAUCAAGGCGAACAGUUAACAUCUCGAAAAAAACUACCACCUAUCGUUAGUACUUGAUAGCUUAUAAGUCGAGACACAAGGAGCUUAUGUAUAGCAAUGGGAGCCUAGUAUUCACAUUGCAAGUGUCAUGUAUAGCUCAAAGAAAACAAUAUAUGCAAUGAAAUACCAUAAUUUUACUCCAACACCUGCAUACGGAUACAUUAAAAUAUAUAGAUACAAUUGCAUAUAAGGUUAUAAACCCCAAAAGACCACUCACAUAGAUAAUAAACCUCAACGUUUCAACCUUCAAACUAAUACCUUGAUGACACUAAACCAAUCAAAAUCGAGAACCCAUUCGCCCCAACACAAAAUUUAAAUCACAUUCAAAUUCCACUUACAAACCAAAAAGAAAAAAGGCACGAAAUUUACCUCGUCGUUCCCAUUGGGUUGCUUCUGAAACCAAUUGAUGUUCAACACCUAAACAAAACAAUCAAAAUCAGAACCAAAAACCCAACUGGGUAUUUCAAAUUCACAAUCUUUUAGGAAUCCAAGAUCUACCCACCUGGACUUGGGAAGUGGGAGAUGGGAAGUUGAAAUUGUCGGAGACGGAGGCCAUGGCGCACAUGAGGGCCAGGAUUGUGACGGCGAAGGUGAGCAAAGCAUUGAAUCUGUACCCAAAAGAAUGCAUCUUUCUUUCUUCUUUCUCUCUCUCUCUCUCUUUUGGGUUUCUUUCUGGUUUUUGCUUCUGGCGUUUUGGUUGGAGAGAAAGAAAGAUGAAACUGAAGACUGGUUUUAGUCUAUUAAAUCACAUAAAUUCCCAAAUCCAGUUAGGAAAAGAGUGUCACACUUUGCUCCAUACUCAUCACUCAUUGGACAACACACGUAUGUUGGACCCACCACUAUAGAAACUCCUUAGUAUUUUUCUCUUUUAAAUUUUUGAUUAUUCUCUCUUGCAUGUACUAAAUCUUCAUAUAGGCUUAAACAAAAGGGGUCCAAUGCUUUGAUAGCUUAAGAUCAAUAUCUCCAUAUAUACUUCAUUGGUUUAGGUGAAUUUGAUCCUCAUUUGAUAUCAAUUUUGAAAUUGUGUAAAUUGAGGUUGUUUGUAAUAACUUCAUUGGUAAAUUGAUCAGUAUAAUCGAAUGUAAUUUCAGUUCAAAAAAGACGUGCAUAGAUAUUUUAAAGUAAAAAAAGAAACGUAGAUCUUUUAAUUAAUUCUCCAAUCUCAAAAGGUGUCAUAUAUGGAUAUCCCUAGUAAAUUGGCCUAUGCAUUUAGCUAAUCACGACAACAAGGGCAAGAAACAUGUAGUUCUAGCUAGUAGCAACCGGAAGUUUCAAUCCUAGCCUCCUACUAAUGUUGGAAAUGGCAAGGGACGCAUUUGAAUUCUGAAGGCUUUUGUGUGAUUUGGAGGUUUUAUUUCACCUGUUAGUAAUGCAUACAACAUGAGGGGACUUAUAUCGAUCGGCUGAACAUUGUAUACAAUUGUGUCAUUAUGACAAGCAAAGUAUAUAUGUACCGUACCUUCUAACGAAGCUUAACCUUACUGGCUAGAGCUAGUCAAGGUUAGGGUUUCUUGUCUGAGUCGACUAGGAUGGUACGUACCCAGUGAAUAUCCCUUAAGUGCAUGAUUGUGUUUGGUUCUGUUCGAUCAACUCCAGUCGUUUAGCAUUCAUGGAGUUUGGAUAUAUAGCAUACCGGAUCAUAGGCAUAUGUAGAGAUGUCUAUGGUGUGGUUUGCAUUCGCAGGGAGCGAGGGAGAAGAUGUUGAUCAGGUAAUGAAAAGUGAUGAUAGUUUGAGGGAGAACAUAAGAAUUGCGGAUGAGCUUGUAACAAACCAAAUAAGCUCAAUAAGAUAGUAAGGGAUUGCAUCUUACCUUUGGUUUAGCUCGUACCAUAAUUGUUAGAUAUAUGUUAGCUUUUCAAUUACUUUAUUAACAGGUAGUCUGGUUUUCUUGACACAUUAGAGUGAUGCAUGAGUCCUAUUAAUCAAGUUGCUAUAUGCCUACAUAACUAAAACAACCUACAUAAAACAUCAGAGCUUUUAUUAAUUAUUCUUGUAGUAAUAUUACUAUAGAGAUCACAACACAAAGCACACAUUUAAGCUCAAUCUUUACUUCAUUAUUCUCUCUCUCUCUCUNNNNNNNNNNNNNNNNNNNNUUCUCUCUCUCUCUCUCUCUCUCUCUCUCUCUCUCUCUCUCUCUCUCUCUACGAGGCCUCGAUCAUCUACGGAGUAGUAGUCAUGUUGUUGUUGAAGUUGGCACAAUUAGUCCUCUGUAACAACGAGUUGCUGAAGCCAAUCCUCGAGUUCACCAAAUCCAGCUGCACUAGGUUAUCCUCCAUCUGAUGUGCCCCAAUCACGAUCGGAGCUCUAGGGUUCAUCCCACCGUUUACCAUGGCCAAGCACAUAACUCCCGGACGCGCCUGAACUAUAGCAUUUUGGCCAGAUAUAGUCCACCUUAUCUUCUGCUGGUUGUCCAACACAAGCUCAAUGCUAGGCACUUGCGGACCCAUCUUGCUAUAACUGAUGUUGUUUGCAUUGAAACACAGCCCGAAUGGCGCCACCGAGGUCACCGGCGGCACUCCCGGGAACUGCCUGAUGAAGAGCCGAGUGAGGACUGUGAAGAUAGACUGAUGUAGCAUUGUGUAUGGAGUUGUGGUGCUGAGUGUGGCUUGGUUAGAACGAAGCCUAGGAGGGAGUGGUACAACAACAUUGUUGAUUUGGAUGGAUUGGACGUUCAUCAUGUACUCUCCUUGUUGACCUAUGAAUAGUGGGGCGUACAUCAGCUGCCUGGACACAUCGGUUCCCGGCAUCAUGUACGUCCCCUCGCCGAAGAAAAUGACGCCUUUUUGUCCCGAGCCAGAAGCGAGGCAGAAAGCGAUCUUUGGUGGGAUGCCAAAAUGGGAAGCAAGCUGGGAAGGAAGUGAAAUCCUGGAGUGGCCCAUCCCACCAAUUCCUUGAACGUUUUGGGGUAGUCCUCUUUGCAAAAGUGUAGAAGGUGCGCAUGCAAAGAGGAACUGAGGAACUGUGACCAUUGGACCUGGCCUCGAGCCUACGGCAGAUGGGAUCGAGAGCACAUCCUCCGCGAGCUCGCCAAUGGCACUUUGUUGGGUGACAGGGUUCACAGCCGUGACCGCGCAUGCAUUGACGUGACAAUAGCCAGGUCUAGCCAUGGGGAGUCUUGGGGUUCUGGGAGAGCAUGUUCGGCACGAGUGGGUGUUGGCUCUAGAGCAUUGGGCUGAAUGGCAAACAGGGGCAUUGAAAGUUGAUGACAAGUACUUGUUUUCACAAUUGACAGAUAAGAACUGCCCGUUUAGGUCGAGAACAAAGGGGAGUUGAACAGGAGGGGUUCUCUUGAAAAUCUGGGUCACAUGGAGACCGGUAGCACCAUCUUUCUGCACCUUGAGAAAGAGGUUGGUUGGCCUGAGGAUAGGCGUGGGUGGUCGAGGUCGAGGUCGAGGUUGAGGUUGAGGUCGAGGUCGAGGUCGAGGUUGUGCUGCGGAUGACUGAUCAUCAUCCGCAGACACAAAAAUAAGAUGAAUAGAUAAAGAGAACAAGAGAAGAAACUGAAGGAAAGAAGCCAUGGAUAAUGGGAAGCAGAAGAGUUGCUAUAGGCUAUAGCUAGAGAGGAGAUGGUUGCAAUGGGACUUGGUAAUGGAAUAGAGAGAAGAGGGUGCAAUUUAUAGUGUAUUAUAGAUGCAUGCAGACAUAGCUAAGGUAGUGUGAUCAUAUGGGAAAGUUUUUUGUUCCAGUUUUUGUGACUUUAUCUGAGGAGGUUCACGCUUUU
rnacentral:lncRNA from 1 species